CGGCGGCGGCGGAGGAGGAGGCGCCGAGGUGGAGGUGGUCGUAGUCGGCGUCGUCCAUGUCGGCGUCGUCGCCGUCGGCGUAGUACUCGUGCUCCGUGGUGUGGUCUUGGGGAUCCAUCGGCGGCGCCGUCGCGGGAUGAUGUUAGGGUUUUCUGGAACUCUUCGGGGCGAUGCGAGAUCGAAAUAGAGAGUGCGGCGAAGGUUACGUCGGUCAAAGAGCGGUGAGAGAGUCUAAUCCAGUUCGCAUCCGGAUCCCGAGCGGUAAAUGAUUUGGCGACCCAUGUGGAUAAUAAGCAGAAAAAAAAAAAAAAAAAAAAAAAGGUAUUUUUGGCACUUAAGGAAGGCAAGUGAUAUUACCAUAUUACCCCUUUCAUCGUACCAGAUCACCUAAUAAUAAGAGUCUUUUAAAUAAUAAAAAUAAAAAAAUUAAUAAAUUAGCUCUUUUAAUCCUCGUUUGAAUAUUGAUCUUGAAUCAUUUUCAAUGAAUAUUGAUCCUCGUUUGAAUAUUGAUCUUGAAUAUUGAUCUCGAAUCUUUGUUUGAACAAAAGAUGUCCCUAGCUUGCUUUACAAACGACAAGCAUUUCACUAACUCUGUGAUCUUGUAAGAGACACAAACAUUAAAUCGAUCUAUAACAACUUGCUUUAUGGUGUCCUCUGAUGAACGAAGGUUACAAAGGACACCGACACGACCAGCUCAAGCUAAUAAUUUUGGAAAUAUAAGCAAAAAAUGUUACUUGGGUAAAUGCUAAUUCUAGUGAAGGCUCCUCCAAAGUACAGAACAAACCAAUCCUGUUCUUGAACAUUAUCAGCGUGGAAAGCUACGUAAGGAAACAAGAUAGUAAGUAAACAAAGAACGUGCGUCGAAACAGUACAAGACCAAAACAGACAAAGCAUCACAAAACAUUUAAAUAUGACCAUGGUGGCUCUCUCAAAGAACAGCAACUCGAGGUUGUUCACUGGAAAUCCACUUAGCCCAUGUCCCGUUCCGCUUCUUUCUGAGUCUUUCGGCAAUGGCGAAAGCCAAUUCUAAUGACUGCGAAGCAUUAAGCCUGGGAUCACAGUGCGUGUGGUAUCGGGAGCUCAGAUCAUCAAAUGUGACCGCCUUUGAUCCACCGAUGCACUCAGUUACAUUCUGACCGGUCAUCUCGAGAUGAACGCCUCCUGGGUAGCUUCCUUCUCGGUCAUGAACAUCGAAGAAAGCCCGGAGCUCAGACUACAGAUACAAGUGUUAAUCAUAAUUAUGUCAGACAAAUUAAUUUUAAUCCCUAAAGCCCAAAGGGAUUCACACAGAUAUUCCUGCAAUAUAAUCUAAUGACUUGUACACCCUGUAAAAUCCAAAUUUUCAUAAAUGCCCCUCAAAAGUGCCAAAAAAACACUUGAUUUAGCGUGCAUGCAAAUGCAUGCAUGUCUGUGCACGCGCACUAAGUUUUUGGAGGACGUAGAAUUCAGAUUUUGCAUGGAUAUAUUUGCAAAUAAACAAUGUUGUAUGACAUACAAAUACCUCAAGCCCCAAAGAUAAUUUAAAUUUGUUGAGGUAAAAGUUCGUUCUUACUCUGAUUGCAUCAAAUGCGCGCGUCUUUAAACCACAUGGAGCCUUCAUGGUGUUCCCAUGCAUCGGAUCGCUAACCCACGUAACUAUAAGCCCAGCUUGCCGCACAGCUCUAAUCAAAUGGGGAAGCUUCACCCGCAUGUUCUCAGCACCCAUUCUCGUGAUAAGUGUUAGCCUUCCGGGCUUAUUGUGAGGGUUUAAGAUCUCACAUAAUUUGACAAGCUCAGAUGGAUCAAGUUUAUCACUCACCUUCAUAGAAUUAUUUACGAAAGCCGUGUCAAACAGGUACAAAUGAUAGCAACUAUAUACAAGAUAAUAAAAGCAUCAUUAAAAUGAAUGUAUAGAAAGUAGCCGGUAGCAUAAUAAUGUCUUUCGAUGAUCAAUAGAAAAAGCUGGCUGCAAAGUAGCCUACCAUUAUGACAGAUAUGUCACACCAGAAUGAGAAAAGAGUUAUACAGUUUACACUGCACAUUCUCAUAUUUAAGACUGAUUAUCUAUCAAACAAAACACCCUCUUGUUUUGAAUGAUAUAUAACUCAAACUGGUUGUUGGGGCUGUAACAUCUGAAGUGCCCCUCAAAAGCUUUUGACUGCUAAAAUCUACCCGAAAGAUUCCUGGCUGAUUAUCAUUAGGAUAAAACUUUUAAUGCCCAUGUUCUUUCACACUAUUCACUGCCCUUUUGGUGGGCACAAGUUGGUAUUGUAUAUUAUGAAGAACAAUAUUUUAAUUGAUUUAAGCAUUAUAGUUUGAAAUUAUUCAGUUGAUUCAGGAUAUGGACAUCACCUUUACGCCUAACGGGUUGGCCACACCACGAAGAAAUUCAAUAUGGGAACCAUCCAGUUGUCGAGUCCUCUCACCGACCCAAAGCAUGUGAGCUGAACAAUCAUAAUAUUGGCCAGAGGUUGAAUCUUCCCUUGUCAAUGCCUGCUCGUAAGGAAGGUGAAGACACUCAUGUGAUGUCCAAAAAUCAGUCGUCGUCAUUAUAGGAUGGUUAGCCGUCAGACCAGCUGCUACCAUAAACCCAAUAGCAUCAUCAACCCUCUGUGCAAGUUCCAUAUACCUGUUCAAUAGCAUCUACCCAAAGUUACAAAAUUAACUCAUCACAUUGCAAAUCAGCUAAUAAGAAAGGAAACAACCUUUGAAUUUAACCCACUUUAUGGUUUCUGCAAUUUUGGGAGAAAUUUUUUUUUAUGGACUGGAAAUCUCUAACCCUUGUUGCAAUGAAUCUGUACACGAUGGACAUUUUUGCCUAAGAAAGGAUAUUUUUUCAAAUCAAGAAAAAUAUACUGAUGAGGCAAAAAAACUAACAAACAGUGGAUAUUCAUUGUAAACUUGCGAAAAAUAAUCCUGUUCACAGAUGUCUUUCAGAAAUUUCUGAUAUAACAUACAUAUAAUCAUUUAUCUUCACCGGUGGAUCAUCUUAUUUCUAUCCGCUAUCAACUUUUGCUGUUAUUGUUAUUUGAGGCGGAGACCUCACACUUAAGAUUGCAAGAGGAAUGCUUCCAGCAUGAUAGACAAACAAUUGAAUAUCUGCAAAAGAAUAAAAAAAAAGAAAAAUGCUAACGAGGACCAAGCACCUGUCUCCUUGUUCACUAUGCUCUACAAAAUCAAGAUUCCACCGUGUAACUCUCUGGAUUGAUGCAUAGCCACCAGUAGCAAAUGCUCUGAGAAGAUUGAGAGUAGCUGCUGAUUGGCUAUAUGCCAUAAGCAACCUCGUCGGGUCAGGCUGGCGAGCUUUCUCAUCGAAAAUAUCACUAUUAAUGUUAUCGCCCUGAUAGCUAGGGAGUGUCACGCCAUCUCUACUUUCAGAUGAACUGGACCGGGGUUUAGCGAAUUGGCCGGCCAUCCUUCCAACCUAAUGCAGAUGGUCAAAGUUUACAGAACGAUUUAGCUAUAAGAUCAAGUAGAUUAAAAUAAUACUUCAUUGCUGAAGAUAUAACAGCCUCAUACUGCAAAUGAAGAAUCAUGCAAAAUAAAAAGGAGAUUGCCAUUCUAUGACUCAUUAAAUCAUAACACAAGGAGUAAACAUAACAUUCCAAGCUUCACUAUUCCAUUCAAACAGCUUAAAAUACACAUAAAAGAAGCACGUGCUCUAUUUGCCCAAUGUCAGCGGAAGCAGCUGAUCACAGCAACGGUCUGCAAGACAGACUAGGCAUGUCAAAGAGAAACUAAUCAAAAAUGGAAUUAUGUCACACAUGAAGAAGCUAAUAGACUACUUGCCUUUCAUCUAAAAAGCAGGCAAUCUGAUGCACAAAGUCCCUGUUUCUUCAACGAGCACAGUGAAGUUUUCAUAAGAUGUAAUACGGAUAUGAAUCGAUACAAUCCAAUUGUUUUACAAGUAGACAUGAGAUGUAAAUAUAGGUGGGAUUGUUUUGAGAACACAAAAAAUGAUAAUUUUAGACAGUGGCAAAGCGUGCACUGAAGCAAUACCGUUUUUUUUUUUUCAUUUCUUUCUUCACAAACAGUAACCAUAAGGAAAUAGUUUGUAAACACCAUCACUAAUAAAAAUAGAAAGUAUGCCGCUCUUUAAUUCUUUUAACCUGAGAACAUAGUAGGGAAAAGCAAACGAAAGGACAAAUUACGCCAAUUCGGCCCUAAAAAUAUCAGGACAAAUGCAAAUAAUGAAAAAUAUUGUUAACAUCUAAGCUAAAGAAUCCAAAUCAUAAACUAUGUCACCAAGAAAUCACGACCAUAAAAGGGAAAAAGCGACCUUGAUGAUGGGCAUCUGUCCUCCGAAGGUAAGAACGACUCCCAUCUGCAGCAAAACCCUGAAAGUGUCUCUAAUGUUGUUCGCAUUGAACUCCUUGAAGCUCUCGGCGCAGUCUCCGCCCUGAAGCAAGAAGGCCCUUCCCAUGGCGGCCUCCGCAAGCUUCUCUUCCAACUUCCUCGCCUCCCCCGCGAAAACAAGGGGCGGGUACGUUUCCAGGGUCCGAAGCACUGAUUGGAGCUCCUCCUGGUUAGGAUAGGUCGGGAUCUGGAGCACCCUCUUCGAUUUCCAGCUAUCCAGCGCCCAAUUCGCCGAAGGAGAGGAUGAGCUAGCCAUUGACGCGACGCGAUUCUUAGGGAGAGGUAGGGUUUUCGAAGAGGUGGCGGGUUUCGGGGAGAGGGAGGCGGCGGCGGCGGCGGCGGCGGCGUUGAGGUGGCUGCCGAGGGAGGACGAGAGACUCGCCAUGGUUGGACGGGAUUGGAGAAUCAGGGUUAGGGUUAGGGUUUCGGCGUUUUCGUCGACGACGAGAGCCUAGGGGUCUCUGCAGCGCCCCGGGGGUUUCAAAUGGACGGAGCUGCGGGGAGAUGACGAUGGGUAACGGUUUUGUGGGGCGCGUGGCUGGGAAGGGGCGGGAUCCCGUCACCGCCCACUGAGGAGGUGAGAUUUAGAGACCGUUGGAUUUUGUCCACGUGGAUGUUUGGUUGGGGGACCCACAGAAAUAGAUAAUUUUCGCAAGAGAGAAUGUUACCCGGGUUGACCGGGUAGAUAUUCGGUGAAAUUUCGAAAAGGUCCUGUGCUUUGGUAAGUUAACGAAGUAUGAUACUUUAUCAUUAUAAUGUGGUUUAGAAGUAUUAUAUUGCAAAUGCAUCGUUUUCUUUUUCUUUUUUUUUUGAGAAAUAGAUAGCACGCUCCUCGCUUUAUUUAUUUUAUUUUGAAAUAAAAUUAUCUGAAAAUGUGAAUCAACUAGGAUUCGAACUUGAGACUCGCAUACCAACCACCAAACACUUUACCACUUCCUCUAGAAACGGUCAGUAAUUAUAUCGUUUUCUUACAUCAAAAGAUAAUUAAAUGCUACAACUUUAAUUGGAACUACAGAAUUGUAAUUUGUUAGUAGUAGUGCCAUAUAAAUUUCUUGAAGUUUCAUAUGAUUUUUUUGUUUUUUCGUGCAGAGCUGUUACCAUGGAUAAUUUCUUCAAAUGAUAGUCGUUUGAGGUGUUAGUUAUAACGACUUGAAUUGUGAUGUUUUCGUCCAAUAAUUCAAAAUUAUCAAAUAUUUGGGAUUGAAAAAGCUCAACAUAAUUUCGAGUAAUUAGUAAACAAUGACCAACCACAACCCAAUAAGACCCAAUAUAGGUUGCCCAAAUUGUCAUAUUAAUACCUCAUGCACAAACCAUACAUAAAUCUCCGUUCUAAUAAAAUUGUAUAUACGAAGGCUCCCAACACUAAUGGGAAUUUUAUAAUAAAAACUCUGUUAAUAUUAUUUUUUUGAAGACAUUUGUGCAUGUCUUUAGUUGUUUUGAUAUGACUAUCUUAAUUAAUUAGCUUUUUUUUUUUUCUCAUGAAUUCUGCGAAUUUGAACAAGUUAUAUGGAACGAAAAGUUCAUGGUGUUUAACGCGUGAUUUUCUAUCUAUUCUACUAAGAAGGAGAAGGGUUGCAGUAAUUUAGUAUUACCUUUCAUGGUGUUUGAACGAAGAGUUCAUGGUGUUUGAACAAGUUAUAUGGAACGAAGAGUUCAUGGUGUUUAAUGCGUGAUUUUCUAUCUAUUCUACUAAGAAGGAGAAGGGUUGCAGUGAUUUAGUAUUACCUUUCAUUUUAUCAGGUCUUGCUUCCAAUCUAAAAGGCUCCCCUUUUUCUAUUCAGUAAGGUCACAUAAUCUUUCUUAUGAGAAAAAGGUAGCACAUUAUUUAUUUUAUUUAUAUGAAAAAUAAAUUCAAUUAUAGGAGUUGAGACAACUCGGCCUGAAAAAAGUUAAAAGCAACAAUAUAUAUAUAUAAAAAAAAGUUCACAUAGAGCUGUAAAAUUUAGUCCCUCUCUUUUUGGUCUCGAAGAUCUGAAGAUUGAUUUUUGAAAAUCACAUUAUUUAUUCCCGCCAUAUGAAUUUUGUGCAUUAUUAUUUCAUUGAAGUAGCAGCAAGAAGAUCUAUUCACACUGACCGUUCCUAGAGCAAGUGACAAAGAACUUGAUGGUUGAUAUCCAAAGUCCCAAGUUCAAAUCCUAGUUGAUUCACAUUUCCGGCUAAAUUUAUUUUUAAAUAAAAUAAACUAAACGGAUAACAUGUUAUCUAUCUCUUAAAAAAAAAAAAAAAUCAAUUCACAAUAUUUUUAUUACAAUAUUGAUUAGCACAUGAAAGUGACCUUGUUGAUAAAUCAAUGCCAUGACCACUGCAAUGAUUACUAAAUAUUUAAUUUCCAUAAUCAUAGUAAACUAUGACUUCAAUGUGCGCGCGCGCGCGUGCGUAAUAUUGAAUUAUCCCAAAAUUGUUUCAUCCUUACUUUACACUUUCCUUCAUUCCAUCCUCCCCCCCCUCUCUCCCAAUGUAUAUAUAUAUAUAUCGGGUCUCAAAAUCUGCACAUAGUAGAAAUUUUUGUUUUGAUUUAUCUCCUAUUCUCCUCAAAGAAAAUGCAUACCAACACAAUUGGAUGUUAGAAAAAUUAAGUAGAAUGUCAAACUGCUAAGAUUAUAUUCUUAACAAACUACAUAAACAGGAUAAAUCGGGUUAGAUUCAUUGCAUCCUGUUAGGACUUGUUCAAUCACUCCACAACAUAUAAGAUGUUAGAUUUUAAUUUAAUAAAUACAACAUCUCAUUACUAUAUAAUCAACAAAAUAAAUACAGAAACUGACCAUUCCUAGAGCAAGUGGCAAAUGACUUGGUGGUUGGUAUCCGAGGUCCCAAGUUCGAAUCCUAGUUUUCCAGCUAAAUUUAUUUUUAAAUAAAAUAAAUAAAACGGAUAGCAUGCUAUUUAUUUCUAAAAAAAAAAAACAAAGUAAAUGUAGAAACUGUUGUAAAUCUUAUUUACAACAUGUUAUAUCGUAAAUAUAUAACACUUUUUUUUAUCAAAAUAGAAAUAAAAAUUAGUUUAGAAUUAUAAAAUUAUAUAAUAUAAAUUAUUAUAUUUAAGACUAUAAUGUAACGUGUUAUUAUUUACAUCAAAAAUCUUGAUUAAAAAAUAGAAUAAUUAUUGCAUUAAAUAAACGGUCCCAACAGAAACACGGCAAAUGCAACAGCUACACAUAACAAAACACAAGAACGUUCGGUGGACCCCACGUAAUCUCCACCGUUUAUGCGGUUAAGGCCGCAUAAUCCCAUAACACCUUGGCUUCAACGCUUGUCGAACAAUUCCGAUGCGACGGAUACGUCGUACGUCUCAAGAGUCGUAAGCACGUGAAUUACGAGGCAAAUCGGGCGGUGACAAAUACCACUUUACAAUUUUUCAUCAAUCUCGGAUCGUCCGAUUAUUCACAGUAGGGCCAAAGCCGUCCGUUUAACCUCAGUUCGCCACGUGUCCCUAACCUACCGUACGAUACACGCUGAUCUCGGCCGACACGCAGGUACACAACCAACCCCUCUCUCUCUCUCCUACUCUCUACCCCCUAAUCAGCGAUCGCUCGUCCGCCGUCGAAAAACCCCCUGAAAAAGAAGCAAAAAAAAAAAAAAAAAAAAAAAUCGACCGUACGAUCUGCGCUCGUCUCUGUCGCACGCCCUAUAAAGUGCCUCCGCGUUCCUCCCCGUUUCUUCGGCGAGUUUCCGUGGGAUUUCGUCCGGUGCGUAUCGCCCCCCUUCGCUGCCCCUAUUUCCAUUUGGGGUAGGGUUAGGGUUUCGGUUAGGAUUAGGGUUUUCCUGUUAAUUUGUGAUCAUUCGAUGCCGAGAAGAUGCUUGUUCGAUCGGUUUUCGUGAUUAUGUUUGUAUUUUAGUUUGUUGGGGAGGAGUUGUGGCUGGAUUGGAGGAUGGAGGAGACGAUGGCGACAUGUGAUUUGGGAGUUUUGUAGCCUUGAUCGGAUCGAGAGCGGUUCGGAAAUGGGUUGCUUCCACUCGAGGGAUAAAGGGCAAUUCCCAGGUUACGAGGAUCCGGUGCUUCUCGCGUCCCAAACAGCUUGUAAGUGUCAAAUUAUUUGAUCUUUGUAUGUGUAUUUUGAUCUUAGUUUGAUUGAAUCGCCUAUCGUACGGUGAAAAUCUGUAAUAUUGGUGAUGAAUGGUUGAAACUUAAGUUUGGUCAUAAUAAUUUGGGCUGGUUGUACUUGGAUCCGUGAAGAAUGGCAUGAUGAUGAUAUGGCGCGAUUGUGUGUUGUAUACGUGCUUGAGACCUUAAAGUUUGUUCGCUUGAUUUAAUUUUUGAUAAGCUGACACUGUAGGAGAUUAUCACUCUGUUCUGUGGUUGAUGCACUACUAUGGAUCAAGAUAAGAAUCCUUAUGCUUUUUUUUUAUUUGGAUAGUUCAGAUGUACUGUGUUAGUUGGUGUUACAGCAUUGCUUGUGCUUGUAUUGUGACAAAAUGUUUUAUGUUGUGGAUUUUAAUAUUGUAGACAUCUUGCUCUAUAUUAAAUAGUGUUUUUAUUUUGUCACCAACUUUUAUCAUGUUUUCUAGUCAGCGUUAGUGAAGUUGAAGCACUGUUUGAGCUGUUCAAGAGCAUUAGCAGUUCUGUGAUUGAUGAUGGUCUGAUAAACAAGGUAACAUUUGAAAAUAUGCAUUAUGUUAUUAUGUACCAUGCUCAAUCAGUUAUUUUCCUUUCUUUAGUUCUUGUUACCAUGUUUAACUAUAUAUUUUUUAAGAAACUAUCGUACUCUCCAUUGGUGGCAAAAAGAAAAUUUUGCAGCUUGUUUAAAUUUAGGGCUUUAGUCGUAAUCUAAGAUGUUCAAGUUAUGUUGAAAUUUCUCCCUGUUUUAUUUUUUCAACUACGUCAUGCUUCUCGUUAGGAAAUUUGAUUUUGUAGUAUUGCAAUCAACUUUUAGUACUGACUUAGUAUGUCAACGAGCAAGAAAACUUGGCGAACUUUUGAGCUUGAGCUAGCUCAUAUGUUAAAAAAACCCUAGAUCAUGGUAGAAUUAUGAUCAAGUAUGGCUGAGCUUGAAAUAACUCAAUUAUGUGUUUCAAGUUAUGAUGAUUUUUCACACAAUUCUUGUAAAAUGUGCUGAUUUUGAAUUUGCACCUACUAUGAUGUACAAGAAGAUGCUAAUUUCUAUAGAGGCUAUAUAUAAUUAUUUCGCUGGAUUUAAUGAGUUAUAUGUGAAACAUAGACUAUUUUUAUAGUGAUAAGUUACUAAUUAUUGUGAUUUUUAGAUGUGAAACAAUCGUUUUGGGUUUGGCUUGGUCUAUCAUGACUCAUGAGCCAGCUGAAGUACAUCCCUUGAAGAAGAACAAACGCGGGAGUGCUUAGGAAGCCAAAUGGUGGGAAUGUUGCUGAGGGGUUGAGAGCUGUGAGGUCGAGGGUUAGAAAACGAAAGAGUGAGAAACGAAAGAGGGAGGCAAUCGAUCUUAAUCAAUGGGCGGAUUGAAAUUUGGAAAUGCAUAAUAAUUUCUUGAGAAUUCCAAUGAUUUAUUUACUAUGUGUUGUGUGCCGCAAGUAUGUUCUUAUGGUCCACUUGCCUCAAAAGGCUUGUAGAACCUACAGUGUCCUAAAAUCUGGAUCAAGGUUUAAAGUGCCGCAGGUAUUGGGGGGGGUGUCCCGCCGUGCCGCGGUACACACCUGCAUAUCGCGCGAGACAGCGUGAUACACGAGUGAGUGCAGUGGCACCGUGUCGUCUCGGUAUUUUUUUUUUUUUNUUUUUUUUUUUUUUUUUUUUUUUUUUUUUUUUUUUUUUUUGGUACCCGAAGCAUUCUAGAUACCCCACAUCCCAAAAGAUAUUGCAAAUCGAAAAUCUAUUUAUUAGGUAAGUCAAAAAAAUUAUAAUUUAUUUUUUUUGUUUUUCAAUAUACGCGCAAAUUCUUAAUUUAUCACCACUGACAUCCAUUUUUUCUUCACAAAUUAUUUUAUCAAAAUUUGUCGCACCGUAAAACUUUUGGCAAAUUAAGGAAACAAAAUCGAACUCAAUAAACAAAUUUUGAGCCACAUUAAACGUAAAAUUUUAUUUUUGUGUUAGAAAAUUUAAAAUACUGUUAAAAUUAAAAAUUAAAUUAAAUCAAUUGAUACUUAAAUUUAUUUAAUUUAUUUGUCAUAUAAUUUAUUGCUUAAUUUUUUUGAUAUAUCUAAUAAUUUUUUUAAAAAAUAAUUAAAAAAUAAAAAUUUCAAAUAAUUUUUAAAAAUUAUUUUAAAAAUUAUUUUUUUGUAUUUAAUAAAGAAAAACUGUAAUAUGAUCAAAAGAAAAGAAAGAAAGAAAAAUAUCUUUGCAUUUUAAAAAUUAUAACAUGUAAAAAUUUUUAUUUUACAUCAGGAUAGUUGUACUUUACAAUAAAAAAACUUAUAAGUAUAUUAAUUAAUGAGUAUAGUAAGCUAUACAUAGUAAAUAUUUAUAAUUAUUUGAUUAAAUCUUUUAAAAUAACGUUAUAAAAGUUUAUUGGAAUUAAAAAAACUAAAAUAAAUCCAUACCAAAGUGUGCCAGUAGGAGGUCAUGCGUAUCCAUCGGCACGCAAGCGUACCAUGUGUCGGUACGGAAGCGUGCCGGUGCCGUACCGUGCCGUGUCAGGCAGACAGCGGCACACUCACAGCACUUUAAACCUUGAUCUGGAUGAUUCUUUUUCACUACUACUAAUGAGAUUUGAUGUUUUAUCGAUUAUAUGAAAUUUCAGUUUCAUAGUUAUUGCAUUUUAUGCUUGGUUUUAUGGCUAAUAAUCAGUAUGAUUGUUUAUGUUAUCUUGUGUCUUUCAUAAGUUUGAUAUAAAUAAUAACUAGGGACUCGUGUCUAUUUUCAUGUGCAGGAGGAGUUUCAGCUUGCAUUGUUUAAAAACAGAAAAAAGGAAAAUCUUUUUGCAAACCGGGUAUUGCUCCUUUUAAACCUUCAGCUUUCAGCUUUAAGCUUUAUGCCACAGGAUAGUUUAUAGUUAUGAUGCAUAUAUCUCAUUGGCCGUGUCUGCGGUGUGGAUUGCAAUAUUGACCAAUACCUAGUAAUGCUUGAUUAUCUCAACUUUGUGCAACCAACUGAUAUUGUCUCUUUUUUAUUUUAUUUUUUUUCCAUCUGUUGGGAAUAGGGGGCUGAUUAAAGGGCUUUUGAUGCAUCAUCCUAUCUUGCUGUUCCUGUUCUCUUUACCUCUUUUCAAUUUUCUUUUACUUUAUUCUUCUUUGCACUUCAAGAAUUUGAUUCUUCCUAAUCUCUUUUCUCUAUUGCUAGAAUUAGUCAAUCUAGUGUAGUUGUGAAUGACCCAGUCGGCGAUCAGUUAUUUGUAAUUUACUUGAUAGGCAUUUAAAUCUUGUCUAAUGAUCUUGCUAUCUUUUUAAGUAUUUGAUAUAAGGCCCUGUGAAGUCUUUAAUUACAAUAAAUGCAGAUCUUCGACAUGUUUGAUGUCAAGCAAAAGGGAGUUAUUGAUUUCAGUGACUUUGCCCGAGCUCUAAAUGUAUUCCAUCCAAAUGCUCCUCAUGAAGAUAAAGUUGAUUGUAAGCUGUUAUUCACAUUAUAGAGUUUGAUGAUUUAAUAUGAAAAGCAUUACUUUUGCUAAAAUGUUGUGAAUGAUUGUACAGUUUCGUUCAAGCUUUACGAUAUUGAGGAUACAGGCUUCAUCGAGAGGAAAGAGGUAUUUUAAGAAAUUCUUUGAAUGGCCAGUGAUGUUGUUUGCUUUAUCUCAAAAUAUAGAAACAUUGUUCUCCUAUCAGCAAAAAGUUAGGGUUAACUUUUAGUGGAGGGUAUGUAAAUUGAUAAUCUUCUAGAAUGCUUCUCUGUGGGUUCAAUAUAUGUGCUAUUAUUCAAGUGAAACAAAAUAGCAACUUCCAUAAUACAGGAUUUUCAUUACCUUUUCUUAAAGUUAUGUGGUUUACAGGAAACAAAACCCCAGUACAUCUGGAAUAUAAUCACUCGUGGAAACAUCAAUAUUCUUUAUAAUACAUAUGCAAAUGAAAAUGUAGUUCAAGUUUAGGUUUCAUAAAAUAACAUUUUCAAGUUUAGGUUUCAUAAAAUAUUACUAUUACUCACAGAUUUAAUAUCUUACUAGUGAAGUAAGACAGGAAAAUACCAAAGCUGCCAAAUUAAACACAAUUUACCCCUUUUUUAAACUAUGUUUGGAAACAAAAAUCGUUAGGUUAAAAGAUGUUGACUUUUUCUUCUUAGAGAGACAACUUUUGUCCUAGUUUUCUAUCCACUCUUUAGUUUAGCUUAUAUGAAUUCAUGUUUCUUGGUGGCAAUCUAUCUAUCUUAAUGAUCAUAAGGCAUAUAGUUUGGUUGAUUUGCCAAUAUAGCUAAAUGAUUUGCAUGCUACAACAUUAAUCUAUUAUAUUAUACAGGUCAAGCAGAUGCUUAUUGCGCUUCUAUCAGAAUCAGAAAUGAGGUUAUCUGAUGAGACUGUUGAGACAAUCCUGGACAAGGUUUGCCAGAAUUCUUGGAUUUUCUUCUGUUAACUCUAGUGUAAGUGCACCGUCAAUAAUACUUGAUUUCUCUCACUAAUGUUCCCAACUUUGAGCAGACGUUUUUAGAAGCUGACGUGAAUCAAGAUGGGAAGAUUGAUAGGGCAGAAUGGGAGAAUCUUGUUUCCCGUAACCCGUCAUUAAUGAAGAUAAUGACCCUGCCAUAUCUCAAGUAAGUACCCUGCCUGAAAAGUUUUUGUAUAAUUUCUCUUAUCUACUUGUGCAUACUUAACCUUCUUGGUCAAGUUUCUUCCACGGCCUUGUGUAUACGUUGAAAACCAAAUUGGCUACUAUUGGAAUGAUCAACAAAUUGAGCGAGAAUUAAGCCGCGCGUGUGGAUAGUAAGUCACAAUAAAACAUUUCGUCAAUCAGAAUAAAUAGGAAAUUUUGAUUGGCAAACUAUUAUGAGGAGAGUCAUGCCCAGUGUACCAGACAAACGAUUAGUCUGUGCCUCAAGAAGAAUCAUGCACAGGAAUUACAGAUUUUUAAUAAGACGGUAACAGUUAUUAAGCAAUAAAAAUAGGAAUACAGCCAGAGCGUGUAAUCAGCGGCUUCCUUUUUCCUUGUGAAUAAGGUAGCAUCCCGAAUUGAAGCUGCAAUCCUUCCUGGAUGUAUGUAUGUUUACCCAAGAAAAGUAGGGAAAAGCUGAAAAAUGAAACCUAACUAAACAGGACCAUUUGAAUUGGAGCUGCGAUUCCUCCUUGUGUAUGUGUGCUUGCUCCACUCAAGCAGGCAAAAGCUGAAAAAUGAAACCUGAGCAAACUUGACUAUUGGAAUCAAAGCUGCAACUAUCCCCCUAUGUGUGUGUGCGCUCUUGAUGGAAUAAUGCGCUCUUGAUGGAAUAACGUAGGGAAACUCUGAAAAAUAAAACAUGACCGAGCUUGACCGUAAAGGCUGGCGUAACUUAUAAAGCUCCCGCUACCCCUUGCAAAUUAGCACUAACCCUCUUCUGUUCUCUGAUCAAUAUUGGCAGGGACAUAACAACCACCUUUCCAAGCUUUGUAUUCAAUUCCAAGGUCGAUGAUGCUGCUACAUGAUCUAUUUGAAGUACCAAACAGCGAAGAAAGAAUACAUCUAUAGAGUGUGUUGUGCAUCAUCCAAUUUUUACAGCAGUUUUAUUGGUAGCAUAAUACUUUUUUUCUUUUUGUCGACAAGGGGCUUAAAUGUUAAUAUAAUAAUUUUGGCAGAAGGAACUGUACUUGAAUGUUAAUAUAAUUUUUUGCAGUUUCUAUUGAGGAAAAGUAGCUCUUAAUUGGAUCAAUCUACAAACUGAUAACAUUAAAAUGGCAGACUUAAUGCUUAUUGUAUACAUGCUUCACGCGUAUGAUACCUUCUGUUUUUCUAUGAAUACAGAUAUAACGUUGCUUGCAACAAGGUCAGACUACUACUACCCCCCAAAUUUACUUUUUAAGAAUGUUUUAUAUUUUUACCUUGAGACAACAAAAGAGGAAUUAAAAAACAAAAGCACUACAUUUUUUUGGUGAGGAUUGUUUAUGCUCCGGUGUCAACGUAGCAAGCACCAUUAAUCCCCCAAAAAUCAAUUCAUACAUACAAAUUAUGUAUCAUAUAAGAACCAAACUCACGAAUAAAGGUGCGGCUUUAGUCUUAUUUCUUUUUAUUGAAUGCCUGCAUUAUAAGAUAUCACAUUGAACCAAUAAAGACCCAUUUGACGUAGCCUGAGAAUCAGAGAUAGAGAGAGACUGCACUUCAGAGGGGUAGAGAGAGAGAGAGAGACGGAGAAACAGUGCAUUUCAUCAUAAUUCACUCGGAAAGAGGGUGUACGGGGUAGAGAGAGAGAGAGAUCUGUUUCACUGGUAUCAAACUUUGACCAACAAAAUAUAUGAAACAUAAUAAUAGUUAAUAUUAAUAUUAGUCUUUACAAUUUGCAAGAUACAUAUACCAACAACCUAUGGUACAGUAGUUAGACACCAGGGGUUCCGACGAGUCGAACCGAGAUCUGAGUCCAAAAAUGCGGCUUCACUAGGGGAGGUGGGGCAUUUGGCGGCCAGAGUUAACCUACAUACUUGUUUUCUAAAUAUAAACUGAAAAAAAAGACAUCAAGAUACAUAAAUAUAUAUAUACACACCACGCUUAUCCCAAGCACCAAUGUAAAUAAGCCCCAAAAAAUCCACACUUGCUGAACACAGAAGAGGCAUAAAAUCUCUUAAUUUAUCUAAUAAUAUUUAACAAGGCAGCUUAAGGUACAUAGUUCCCAAUGCACAAAUGUGAUCAUUCAGUAACAUGGAUUAAUCAGCACUCAUUUAAUUCAACAGAACAAAUGCCAUAAAGUAAAUUUAUUUAACAACCACUAAACUAAUUUGGAUAAAGUUUUAUCACAAAGGUUAACUAAAUUUCAGCAUAGUUCACAAUAACAUGUAUCGAAUUUUGACAAGAUUAAGCUCAUCCUUACUCCAGUCCCUAAGGAUGUGACCGACAUCAACGACAAGAUCUAUAGUUUUCAUGGCUCCGUAUCUUGCACAUAUAGCUAACAAACAAAAAUCAGUAUGCACAUUUUAAUGAUUGCAAGCAUGACACUAGUCCCAAGUCAAAAUUGCAAAGAAAAUAGCAAAAGAUACGACGAUUGCAUUAAGAAAAUAUUUUCUUAAUGACACAAAGAAGUUCAAACAACGCCUUAGUAAGUGUCUACCAAAGAAAGGAAGAAGACACCAUUAGGCCAACAACAGACUAUGAUAAAACACCUGCUCGUUGGAAUGCAUUAUCUUAAAAAAAUUGUGAUUAUUUGGGUCCUGCGAUGGACUAAUCAGACUUUUAGGUUGCAAUGACAACAGAACCUAUGGUGUCACAAUUAAUAAUAACCAAUUUUUUCAAGCAGCAAAAUGACCGUGAAGGGUACAUACGGGGAUGAAAGGUCCGAACAGAAAUAUGCACAUUAAUAUGAGAUCGAAACAAGACGACACAGGAUAGAAUAGUAGCAAUAGCAAAGAUAGACGAAUAGUCCUACAAGCACUAGCCCAACAGUUAGGUGCAUCAAGUUCAAUGUAAAAAAUAGUUUAUGCAAAUUUCUUGUCUCAACAGUCCAUAAUCAAGGAUAUAAAAACUGGAUAAUAAAACAUGAGGAAAGUCAGAAAUAGCAUUCUUACUUAAAACAAAAAGAAGAAACAAACAAUUAACAUAACCUAAAACUCUGAGCAAGAGAGAACUGAAAAUUGAAGGAAUAGGAAAAGAUUCGGUUAAAAGGAAGAAGUACAGUUCCAUGCAGGAGAAAUAUGUGCCUUAAUAACAUCAUAUAUGCGCAUAUAUGGAGAAAAUAAUUUUCUUGCAGCAGCAUACAGAGCAGGAAACACUGAAACAUAUUUUCAUUUUGGAAUCAAUGAGUAGCACAAGUUCUCGAUAAAAUGAGUGAAAGUUGAAAUUAUAUGAACACAACUUGAGAACCGAGUAAUAAUACAGCAGCUACCAAAAAUCUAUAGACGAAAUAAUCUGUAGUAAAUGAUGGAUUUUAAAUGAUAGAUUUUAAAAAGCACUACACAUUGCCUCCCGCAACAAGUUGGUUCAGAAAGAAUAAAUCAUCAUAUUUUGGAGAAUACUUUCUAAAAAACAACAUAAAGCUAAGGGUUUCUGCUAAAAAUGCAAACUUCUGAGGAAAAUCAAGUAACAGCACCUAAAUAUAUGGAUCAAUUGCUAAAUCCUAGUUAAGGAAAUUGCACUACCACUUCCUAAAACUUCCUAAAAAAACCCAUCUACCUUUUCUACCAAAAUUAUAUAGAAAAAAUAAAAAAAAUUACUACAAAAAAUUUUGCAGGCUAAUCUUACGAGUGUUGCAUUUUGUUUCCACUGAGCCCAAUAACACUAAUGGCUUUCAUCCAAGUUUAUGCAAUCAGAACUUUCCAAGCAAUUUUGGUUCAUGACAGCGCAGGUUUUAUCGUCUUGAAACCCAUAUAUAACAGGUAGAACUGAUGAGCUGCAAAAGUUAAAGCCCUUCUGAUGGGCAACUGAUAACCCUUGAUAUUUGCUCUCCAAAUCUUGUACAAAUGAUUUGACAACGUCAGCAGUCAGAUUCGCGAUCAAAUCAAUAUACUCCGUACAAUUCUAUUUUGUGACAAGAACCAACAAUAUACACGUAAAUGAUGAACCGCAGCCCAGACUUUUCUUCCAACUGGUAGCCAACAAUAGCCAAGCUACGAUGCCCAAAGACCUUGAUACUCUAGGAGCAUCUGUAUUGGUAUCCAAUAUACCAUAUUGGAUACGACAUUCAUUGAAUAUUUCAUAGAUAUGUGUCAGAUACUUCUAUGAUUCUGCUAUUUCUCUUAAAGGUUGAAAACAUGGAUUUCAGCUUUUGAGAUGCAUCUUGGAUAAGAGAAGGGAUUUACUCGAGUCAUGAAUGACGAGAAUUCCACAAAGAUAUUCCAAAUUGAAGCCACCAUGUCCAUCACACAAGUCCAGUUUUUUAUUAUAAAAUAUCAAAAGAAGACAUUGUAGAUGCUUGAGUUGAGUCAUACUAUCAUAGGUUGCUAUGUUAAUUUUCCAAUCAAAUAAAAACAAGCACAAAGAGUUAAAAGUUUCUAACAUGAACAUGCAUUUAUCAGCAUAACCUAUGUGCCCAUGCAUUUGUAUGAAAGCGCUGUUUCAUGUAUACUUCAAUCUCUGUUUCCAUGAGUUUCCAACUCCAUAUUCACAAUCCAUGUGCAUAUCUUCUGCAUGAAACAUGUGCAUAAGAAAACACAUUCCUGUAUCCUACAUCUCUCAUAUCCUUCUUUUUGAAGAUUUUGUCAUAUGUGUAAGGCCUGUAUCUUCUUGUAUUCAUAUCUCAAAUCCAUGUCCAUACAACAUAUUAGCAUAAUGACAUAAAGACCAAUUGUUAUCUUUUAAAAUCCUUUCUCUGAUAUUUCAUAAUUAAUUAAUUUUGUUACAGCUCAAUGAGCACCAAUAUUUUUUGGCUUCCACUAAUGUUGAGAUUUUCAAAGUUUUCAAAGAAUGUCAAAGAGAAUUUGCUGAAGUAUACCAAGAACCAACUUAUGAAGGCAAGAACUUAAGAUAACACAAAAGGUUAUGUUUUUUUUUUAUGAGCAAUACUUACUAGGAUAAUCAUAAAGGCAGUAUACAGGAAGUGACAAUUCCAAUGUCAAAUCCCAUGAGAAACCUCUCCACUUUAAUUUAAUCAGCAUGCGCCAAUGCUCACAACUACUGUGCACAAAUGGAAAGAAUUACCAGCCGCAAUGUGCAAGGUUCUUAAAACCGAGCUUUGAUCCAAAAUUUAGCCUUGCAAGCCUUCAACCGCACCCUCUUAUAUCAAUAAGAUGCUCAUAAAAAUCUUAAUGCCAAAAUACUUCAAUAUCCACCCAUAGAUGUCUUGGGGUAAUAGGGAAAGUAUGUUAUCAGUACAUAGUACACCAUAACUUCCUGAUGUUCUCCACGCAGAUCUAAUAAGUCAAACUCCUUUACAUAAAAUUAAAAAGGCUGAAAAUCCAUAUGCAACAAUUGCCUUUACCAGACCUUAUGAUCCUUUACUUCACGUCUAAACAUCAUAAGGUUUCUCUCUUUGAAAUUCAGGCCCUCUUUCCAAAUGUGUAGGCAUCAUAACUGGGAGCUUCAAAAUAUCCACAGCCUACACCAACCCUUCUUUCAUUGAAUAAUCUGUGUCAUAGAAGGAAAUCCAUAUGUGAUCACAAGGGCCAUACGCAUCAUGCAGGCCAGAUAUAGAAAAACAAGAAAGGGCUUCACCAGGAGGAACUAUGCCUACAAGUAGUAGAAUCAGCAGAAAGCACAAAAUGAUUCCUAAUACAACCGUAAAGAGCAGAAGAAGGGUCGACAUAGAGNUUAGGGCAUAAGAAUUAGCCUGAGCACCUUAGUAAUAGGAACCAGAACCACUACCACCUAAGUACCCACUGCUGCCUAAGCUACGACUGGAAUAGCCACCUAAGUAAGAGCUACCACCAACCUGGCCCAAAGAAAAAAGAACAAGAGAAUAUAAUAUGCAUAAAACCAAAAAUGAUGAAAAUAGAGAAGAUGCUAACGAAAAGCUCACAUCAGAUCCACGGGCCACAUAACUAUUGCCAUAAUUGGAUGAGUACAUUCCACCAACAUCACUGCCGCUAACAGAACCUGUAUAUAGACUAAUUAGUAAUGUAGCAACCGCAAACACAAUUAUAUGGCGAAAAUAGCCAGAAUAAAGAGAUAGAUUGCAGCAAACCUCCGGAAUAAUUCAUGCCAUGACGACUGCUGUACAUCCCAUCCUGACCAGAUAUAGAAGAACGGCUGCUGCUAUAUCCCACAUGAGACCGUCCAAGCCUAAUGAACAAGAAAGAUAUUCAGCAUACUCGUUGAUGGAAGAACUCAAAUACCAAUGCCUACACCUUUUAAGUUUUAACAGACCUGUCCCCAUAAGGAUCAGCAUAAUGAGAACGGCUGCUACUAACACCAUAGUCUACACGGGCCCUCGAAUGGCGGAUGCUCACAUCAGAAUACCGAGGAGGGGCGUCAUCCUUAAAAUUAACAAGAUAAAGAAACAUUGAUAAGAAUCAUUAUAAUUCAGCCCCUGAAGUUUCAUGUUCUUUUCAAUUUCAUUUUGUAAUUUCAGAUGUAAUAAUUUAUCCUUGAAGUUUGUCCUACAUAUCCAUAAUGCCCUUCUGUUAAUCUAUCAUCUAAAAGGUGGCAGAAUAGUACCAUGCUUGAAAACUUUGCCUUGCUACAUUUGAAACUCAAUAAUGAAAUCAGGGUCAGGAGUGAAUUGCUAAAAACAAAAGUUUGAGGACCAAACUGAAAUCAAAUUAAACUUCAAGAUCAAAUUGUUACAAUUGAAACUCUAAGGCACUGGAUCAAACUCCAUGUAACAAAAUUUGUAGCAAAAUCAAUCUCCAAUUACAAAAACACAGUUAAAAAGGUGAAUAACACUCACUAUUUCUGCAUAUGGGCGUUUUGAUCCGGAAAUUGAAUCAUACUCUCUGCCGCGCCCUUCCCUGUAGGUUGGCAGAGGGCGAUCAAGCUUCCUUCCAUAGCCAUCAUCGGGGUAUGCAUGCCUGCUUGAAGUACGAGAAGCACUACGAGAAGGUGGUAUAUCGGAGUAGCCUGAUCCUCGAGAUGAAUAUUCAUCCCUAUAAGACGAACGCCUCGCUAUUGGAUCUCUGGAACUGUACUCUACAGCAGCAGCUCUGCUUCUGGCAGGAGGCAGCUCAACUUGCCUACCAUAAUCUCUCCUCGAACUGACCUUGGGAUAAGCAGGAACUGCCCAAAAAGAAAAAACACAACUAUGAAAAACAAUGCCAGUGAGCGCUUACAGAACCAAUCACGGAGUUUUAUAUAGACUUGAAAUAUGGCAUAUUUACACAUAUACCACCACCACAAAAUUAAAAUUUUCAUACAUGCCUAGAAAGCAGCCUGCUACAAAAAUUCUGAUUUUAGAGGGGUAUAUAUGUGAAUAGAUGAAUUUGCAAGGACAUAUUAAUCUUAUACAUAAAAGAAAAAAAACCUGGUGGUCUUCUCUCGUAGGUCCUCUCUGGAGGAGGCAAACGCCUUGGUCUCUCUGUCACAGCCAAAACAGGCCGCCUAUCUCUAAUACUUAUUGGUCUCUUGAAUCCACGGGCCCCAAUUGGUGCACCACGAGCACUGAGAGGUCUUGAAAGUCGUGGAGGUGGGGCCCUACGGGGUGGAGGACGACCAUAAGAUAAGCGGCUGACUCGAGGAGGCCCUAGGCCAAUCCUAUAAUUACCUCGUAGACUACGUUUCCCUCUACCUUUCUGGUGCGGUCUAGACAACCUAGCCCUAACUUUUACCUAACACAACAGAAUAAAAAAUCAGUUAAGUUGCCCAAAAACAUAACAAACCUUGAUGAAGAUACCUGAAUCCUAACCUUGUUGUCACCUUCACCAAGCUCAGUAUUGUUAAUACUGUCCGCGCAUUCUACAGCAUUAUCAUGGGAAUCAAAAGUAACAAAUCCAAAAUCCUUUCUUUUCGCAGCAGGCAUGUUACGAGCAAGUUCAAUCUUUUCGAUAGCUCCAUAUUUCUUAAGGUAUCCGCUGACACGAUUUUCAUCCCAUCCAGCAGACAAACCAUCAAUAAAGACAGUUCUGACCUGGAAUUAACCAGAAAAUCAAGUAAAAAUGUGAUAGAUUUCUGGUCCAUGAAAAUUCAUAAACUGAUCAAAUAUUAAACAUAAAGAAAAUUGAUAAUUCUGAUACUUGAACAUUUUUAAGAAUUAAAGAGAGCAGGGGGUGCAAGGGGGAGGGAACUAAUAUAGAAACAUUCAAGUGUGCCCGAGAUUGUUCAAGAGUGUAUCAAAUUGAUAUAAAUUCCCAUAAUUAUUAAUGGACUUAAUGUCUCCAGAGAAGGAAUACACACAGCUACAUUACAAAGUGCAACAGCUUCUGGACAAUUUAUACCUGCGCCAUGAUUUCAUCAUCAGGCUCAUGAUAAGAAUCUGCAAAUGAAACUUUCGCAGAUCUAUCUAAGCCAAGAACUACAUCCCUUUUCUGUAGUCGCCUAUAAGCAUGCAUCGCUUCUGAGCGGGAUGAAAAUUCUAAGAAAGCAAAUCCACGAUUUGUCCCUUCCUUGUUGCCAUCCUCAACCAAAGUCAAAUCCUCAAAAUUGUCAACUCCGUAACUCUUUAGUUUCUCUUUCAACUGCAAGCGUGCAAAUAAAUGAGAACCAAAAACAAUAAUCUGCACAGAUGAUACUGACAGAACAACUCAACCAAGCCUCCUUACGUGUUCUUUAGUCCAUGUCUUGCAUAUGUUGCCCACAAAAAGGGUGUCGCUGUCAUGACUUGGGGCAACCCCACACUGCUUACCCCGCACCUAACCAUAUGAAGAUAUUUAUUUCCAUGGGCAUGAAAAUAAUAUAUUAGAAAGAGAAAAUGAGUGAUUAGAUGCAGAGCACAAACCACUGGAUUCCUAAUCUCUGAAACUGCACGUUUUGCUUGCUCUACAGUUGCAAAGCGCAAGAAGGCAAAGCCUUUAUUCUUCUUUGUAAUGGGAUUCAUCAUUAGGCGAACUUCAGUAAUCUCCCCGACUUCACCAAAUACUUUCCUAAGAUCUUCUUCAGUUGCAUCCCUAUCCAGACCACCCACAAACACUUCAUACUCCUUGCGCUUGCGGUGCUCCUUUACUAUUUCAUGGUGCUCUUCCUCCUCCGGAUCAACCUCAGGUUCCUCCUCAGCAUUUUCAUCAUCUUCCUCAACCUCCACACCUUCACCAUCUUCCAUCUCAUCCACCAUCUCAGGAUCUUCCUCUUCAACCACAUCUCCUUCAUAUUCCUCCUGUCCUUCAUCAUGGUCUAAAUCCUUCUCAUCAUAGUCUACAGCAGCAUCUUCUUCAUGUUCAUAUUCCGGUUCGUUGUCCUCCAACUCUAACCGUUCGCCUUCAUCCUCGUAAGCUUCUUUAACGUCUUCCUCAUCUGACGUAACAAAUAUAUACAACUGAUACAUUGGAUGAAGAAGAGAGAAAAAGCAAAGUAAUCUGCAAACAACAAUCCAUCCAAUAUAGCAUGAACAAGUGAAAGGUUCGUCACUUUCCUACAUGCAAAUUCUUACGCACGUUGAACCCUGGAAAAAAUUUCAAUGAAAGUGCCUUCCAGUGAUACAACCUCUGUUCUUUGUUUUAACAUAUAAUAAGUUUUAAGUAUAUAGAAAUCAGUGACAUGUGCAAGCGAACUCUCUAUUUGACCCAUCAAUACACGAAGAUCCUCCUCAUCAAUAUAUUCAAAGGUCCCAUCAGAAGUUACGAUUACAGAAAUUUGAGGUCAGCUAAACCAACAUGUAAUCAUAUUGUCAACUCAGUGUAAAAGUGGCCCUGAGAUUGCCGAUAAGACACAUUCCAAGCACCCUGAUCUGCUUAGCUCUCAAAAACGUUACCAUAUUUCAAUGUGCAGGGUAAAUUAAAAUCUAAUUUCUUUUACCAAUUGGGCAGGGUGGGAAGAAACUGUCAUCUAAAGAAAUCUUAGUUUUUUUUUUUCACUAUUGAACAUUAUUGUUUAUUUAUAAUCAGAAUUAUUUCAUUACAUACAUAUUAAUACAUUUCAAUUUACAACAUAGGUCAUUUUGCAGUAUCUUGUUUGUAUCAUACCCCAUCUAUGCUUUGAUCUAGUAAACAUUAACAUUUGUAAUCACCACGAUGCAGAUUUAGCAUCAACAACAUGCUGUUUGGUCUACUUUUCCAGAUAAAGAAACCUCGCAGUCUAAAACAUCUGACUGAAUAAAUAUUAACAGAUGAAAGCAUAUAUACUUUUUGACCAAAAGAGUAAAAGCAUAAGAUUGCAUGGGAUGUAUAAUGCAUUAAUUCAAAAGAAACAAAAAUACGAAAUCAAAGCAACUGAUUAAAACAGUAAAAGUGGGUAAACGAAAUCUAAUUAUAUGCUAAUGCAACAAAGAAAAAGGCCAAACGUAGCAAGAAAGUGUAGAAUAUGCCGAAGGAGGUGAAUUUUCAGCAUAAUAAUCAGCGCCAAUGAAAGGUCCAAUUGCAAAAGAUCCAAUAAACCUCAAGAAUUAUGAAAAAGGCACGAUCGAGAGGGCAAGAAUCCAUACAUUCUACAUCGACGGAGCCAUUGACCGCCGAAUCCGUCACCGAGGGCUUAUCAUCCUGGACGACCUCCUCCGCCUUUAUCUCCUCUUCCUUCGCCUCGAUGACCGGCGCCGCCACUUCCUCGAACUUGGGGGGUUCCUCCGCCGCCUCCGCCUCCCUCAGCGCCUUCGCCUUCGCCGCCCUCGACCCCGUCCUCCUCGGCCCCGCGGACCAUCCAGACCCCUUUCUCGCCGAUUUAGGCGGCAUCCUCUCGAUCAAAUCCCGCUUUCUCUACACAUAUCGUAGAUCGUCGUCAAUCAGCAAGAAAAUCCUAGAAACGGAUCAAAACCAUGAAAUCAAGCAACAGAAUCGACGAAAAAGUAAGUGGGAAUCGUUCGCCCAUACCUCGUAGAGAGAUCAAAACCCUAGAGAGAGAGAGAUAGAGAGGGCAAAGAAGCGAUGCCUCGAAACCCUAGAAGCGAUGGAGCCAGGUGACACAGAAACCCUAGAGCGCAAUUUAUAGGACCCGGAUCGUUGUAAGAGAAUCUACCCGAUAAGGUAUUCGACUCUGCCGAGGAAAAAAAAGGACCCGCUGUUAUCCUUUAUAACGUUAAUGCCACUCAGAGUCGUGAUUACGAUAUUGGGGUCAUUGAACGCUUCUUAUGCUUUGGAGAUCAGGGGUAUUUUAGUCAUUUUACGAAGGAACGUUAACUAACUCGGAGUCGGUAAAUGGAUUCCUAUGCCCAGGCCCCAGGUGCUGUUUAUUUUUACUUCUUUUGUUUUUUUGGCAAAAAGGUAAUCGAAUAAAAAGUGAAAAAAAAAUCACGGAUAACCCCUUCGCUAUUUACGUAUUAUAAUAAGAUCCUUCUUCUUCCUUUUUUUUUGUACUUAUAAAUGAUUCGAUUUUAAACUUUCACUGUUUCACAUGACUUUGGUCUUUUGCUCUUCAAUGACUUUCAUUAUUUUAUAAUUUUUAGUUAUUUUUAAUUUAUAUAGAAAUAAGUGAAUUGUUUAUGAGUUUUUAUAAUACUAACAUCUUUUAUUACAACCAACUGUUACUAAAGCAAGUGGCAAACGCCUUGGCGGUUAGUACUUGAGACACAAGUUCGAAUCCUAGUUGAUUCACAUUUUCAGCUAAGUUUAUUUCUAAAUGAAAUAAACGAAGCGGGUAGCGUGCUAUCUAUCUCUAAAAAAAAAAAAAAAACAUCUUUUAUUAUAAUAGAAUUUUUCAACUGCAACAGUGAAAUAGACUUAUUUUAAUACUUUACAUUCGGUUAACUAUUUUUUCAAGGGAAGGAACUGUACAGUUUAAAAUUGAAGAGGGUUUGUAGCUUAGCUUUAUAGAGUGUCCCAUUCCUUUUCAUCUCAAUAAGACAUAAGUGAAUGAGGAUGUUUUUGCUUUAAUUUUAAGUGUUUACUAAAUCACAAUAAGAGGUAAGUUCUAAUAUUCUGCCAUCUGCAUGUCACAAAUUUCAGAUUUCAAUAGAAUAGAAUGCAGUAAAAUUAAUAAAAUAUUUAACAUAAUUGUAAAAUUUUUUGUUGCAUUUUACUGGCGGGGUAUUUAAAUUCGAGUUUUAUCUCUAUCGAUCUACAAACGCAAAAGUUUGUAGAGCUUUUGGUUGCUUUUACCAAAAAAGUGUUUGAAACUUUUGCUGCUGCGAGAGAUGAAAUAGAAGAUUUUAUGUUCCACAACUAAAAGCUUUAAUUUGAACCUUCUAUUUGUGGAAGUCCAGCCGAAUCCAAGUUAAGAUAAAAGGAGCUUUUAGUGUUUGAAUAAUAUAAUGUUAUGAGCCUUCUCUAUGUAAUGAUAUAAGCACCUCAUUUUCCUUUUUUGUUAAAAGAUGCAUCACCUUAACCUCACCUUAUCUUUCUUAAUUUCUCCAGUAUGCAAUAUCUAAAUUUCACCUUUAGAAAUUUCAUACAUAUCCUCGUUACGCAGAACUCGUGACUUAGUCUCUUAGCAUAUUAAUACGCGCUAUUCUUGAUUUAGGAUGUCCGAGUAAUGCUGCUUCCCCUCUGCUCUUCUUCGAUGUACAGUAAACAAGCGAAGCAAGAUAUUGCGUAUCGGAGCUAAAUUGUAAUAUCUCUCUUCCACGACUCUUUACAUGCUCUAUGUUCAGGCCAUGUGACUGUUGAGCCAUUAAAGCCUCUCGAAGUUUCUAGAACGGCUUUCAGAUCGGUAAGCUUUGCACUUACGCUGCGACAGCAAUUUGCGUGUACAGUUGUCACCUUCUUAGCAUCUGUGCUGUCGGAACAGAAGCCGCUGAAGUAUGCUGUGUCCAAGAACCUCACCUUCACACCUAACUUCCCGAAUGCGCCCUGAGAUAUCAUAUGUCUCAGCACAUCUUGCUCUUUCAUGCCUUGCGAGUUAUUCCUCGAUCCAUACCAUUCGUCGAAUAAUGCAAUGGUUUUGUUAUUCGAAGCAACGAAGAAGAAACCUGUGUUAACGGAGUUAUUACUGUCAAAUGGCCGGCCGUUGAAUCCAUCGCAGCUUAUUUGCAAAUCUUCCUUAUAAUUGUUUAACUUCGUGAACGGGUUUUUCAGCCAAACAAUAUCCAUAUCCUAUAGAUGAAGAGAAAAAGUAUGUUAAGAAGCUAUCGCGUGGAACUCUUUUCGAAGUUGUAGGGAUGAUAGAAUAUUAGCUUCAGUGUUUUUAACUCACUGUGAAAAUGAAGUUGUACCCAUGCUGCAGAACAUUUCUAAGUAAGAGAACCCUUUGCCACAUCAUCUCGAUGAAACCCUCGGUCAUGUAGAGCUGUUCUUUGGAGUAGUUUCUUCCCAUUGUGUUGAGCUUGUAGCAAUUGAGUUUUAGAAGCUUGCAGCGAUCAAGAGCCGUCUGAUCUGCAGCGACAAGGAGAAGAUGUUUGAUCAAGUGCUCGGUAUCAUCCCCUUCUUUAAAGCUUUGGAGAAAGAGGUCUAACAAGCCAUUUUCCUCUGCAUAUGCCUUGUUUAGAAAAGUUAUGAUCAAGGUCUUGCUUUCCAUAGAAGCACUUUGUAGAGCUACCUCUAACUUAUCUUCUGGGGCGCGCGUUGUCUAGCACAAAUCAUGAAAACAUGUGAGCUCAUUGCUAAUUUAGUUAUUGGAAGGGUAAGAAACAAAAAUCCAUCAACUUUUUACUUACUGCAAUUUGACUUCAUCUAGUUUAAUUGGUGCAAGUAAGAUUACAGAUCUUCUCUUCGGUUGCAAUUUGGCCCACAAAGUUUUACUUGGAGAAUAUGAACUCAGUAGUCCUUCAAAUAUUUGUAAGUUCGACUUGACGCCAAAUGUAAACUAUUUGGUGCUAAAAUUAGGUUUGGUGCAAAACUCACCAUAACAUUAAAUAGAUGCUGAUCUUUUGUACCAUAGCAAACUGUUUGGGCCAAAUUACUAUAUGAACUGAGUUUGUGGGUUUUGAAACUGAAUAAAAUUUAGUGGAUCAAAUUGCAAAUAAGAAAAUUAGUUUGUUUCAUGAUUUUACCCUAUUUAUAAUUACUGUUUCUUGUGAUCCAGCCUUUAUAGUAUUAUAAGCAUCAAAUAUGACCUUAGUUCUCACCUCCCAUGAAUCAUGGCAUGCUUUGUGUGCAGGCCAGAUGAUAUUCGAUGUAGCGUCAAACGUCUUCCAGGAAUCAAGAACAGCAGUGAGAUCGGCGAUCUUGGCUUUCUUAGUACGGCAACAAUUUGCGUGGACGGUUGUCACUUUAUUGUAAUCCCUGCUGUCCGAACAGAACCCGCUGAAGUACUCAGUGUCCAGGUACCUCACUUUCAUUCCUAACCGCCUGAAUGCGCCUUCUGAUUUCAUGUGGUUCAGCACAUCUUGUUCUUUCAUGCCUUUUGAGUUAUUCCUCAAUGCAUACCAUUCAUCGAAUAAAGCUGUUGUUUUGUUGUUCGAGGUUACGUAGAAGAAUCCGGUGUUGAUGCCGUUGAAAUCGUCAAAUGGGUUGCCGUUAAACCCAUCACAACUAAAUUGCAUGUCUUCUGUGUUCUUGUUUAGCUCUAGAAAUGGGUUUCUUAGCCACAUUACAUCUGUAUCCUAAUAAUUAUGAAGAAAAGACCUUAGUAUAACUGUUCAAUGCAUCAUAGCAAGUAUUUUGUAAGUUCGAAGUAUGGUUGCUUAAAAUCAGACGCGAACUAGUUCCCUCGUAUUUAUCAAGGGGCUCGUUUAGCCCGGUUGCAGGCUUGCAGCAUCUGCAAAGUGCUGUCUAAAGAAGUACUAACAACUUUUUUCAUUCAAGUUCCGUUAACGGCUUCCUAUAAAUUAGAAGCGCACGGUUCGUAUUGCAGCUUCUACCUGUAGGCCCAGAAGCACAUUUCACUUGCUGUCGUUGCAAAAUCUCGAAACAUUUUGUUCGUUGAAUCUGCCAACUGCUUUUUCGAGUAAAGAAGCUGUUCUAGAAACAAAGCGAAGGGAACUACAUUCCGGACACAAACAUAACUAUAAAUGCUGUUGAACUUACUGUGAAAACAAAGCUGUAUCCAUGCCUGAGAACAUCUCCGAGAAAGCGAGUUCUCUGCCACAUCAUCUCGAUGAAGCCGCUGGUCAUGAAGAGCUGCUCUGUGGAUAAGUUUGUGCCCUUGCUAUUCAGCUGGUAACAAUGGAGAUCUAAUUUCUUGCAUCGGUCAAAGGCCGUCUGAUCCACAGCAACAAAGAGAAGGUAUUUGAUCAGGAAUUUUGUUUCCUCCCCUUCCCUUAAGCUCUUAAGGAAGAGAUCUAUCAUGCCGUUCUCCUCUGCGUAGGCCUUAUUCAGUACAGUGAUGAUCAAAGUCUUGUUUCCCAUGGAAGCACCUUUUAGAGCUUUUUCUAGCUUAUCCUCUGUAGCAGCUUUUGUCUGUCCAGGACCAAAAGAAAAAAGAAAUCCAUUAACUUCUUCUUGUCACAGUAUUACACUUUUAAUCCUGUGCUCCGCAUGACACAGCCGCGAAAUAUGUGUUCAUAUAUUAUACAUACAUGCAUAACAUGUGUAUCUGUAUCAAGUUAGAGAAAGGUUCUUAUAUCUAGGAUUGGAGAUUUUAAAAAUAGGAGUAAGUUUUUACCUUCCACGAAUUAUGACAUGCCGUGUGUGCCGGCCAAUUCACGUUCAGCGUUCCAUUAACAAAUUUCUUCCAAACUCGAAGGACUGAGCUCAAAUCAGAGAUCUUGGCCUUCAUGGUGCGGCAACAGUUGGCGUGGACGGUCGUCACCUUCUUGAAAUCCCUGCUGUCUUGGCAAAACCCGCUGAAGUAGGCCGUGUCCAGGUACCUCACCUUCAUACCUAACCGCCUAAAUGCACCUUUAGAUUUCAUGUGGUUCAGUACAUCUUGUUCUUUUACACCCUUCGAGUUGUUCCUCGAGGCAUACCACUCAUCAAACAAAGCUAUUGUUUUGUUACUCGAGGCGACGAAGAAGAAUCCAGUGUUGAUGCCAUUGAAAUCAUCGUAUGGGUUGCCAUUGAACAUAUCGAUGCUCAUUUGCAUGUCUUCUUCUCGGUUCAGUUCCGAGAAUGGAUUCCUCAGCCACAAUACAUCCAUAUCCUGGUACCGGAGAGAACAGGUGUUAAGAAAAACCAACUAAUGUUCUUUAGCAGGCAAAACUGUUCCAUUCAUCCAUUUUGGUGAUCAUAUGCCAAGUGCUAUAAGGAAUGCGCUAAACAUGAAACACUUUUUAGAGAUACUCACUUAUAUGCCCUUGAAAAUGAUCAGUUCACAUAUAUUAUCUCAGCAAAAUUUUGAAACUUUUUAUAUAUAUGCCCUACAGAAACUUCAUUUGUUGCCCUUGUGCCCGAAAAAUACUCUUUGAAGUACCUCUUUUCCAUGAACAAACCGAGUACUAGCGUCGUAAGAAACAGACACUAUCAAAGGAAAUGUGAAUACUCAUAUGUGAUAGAUUAUUUUGCAGGGGCAUACAUGAAACUAAAUUGCAUGCAAGAAGCUUGACGUAGAGGCGAUUUUACACCAGCUCCAGACAUUCUCGAACUCACCGUGAAAAUAAAGCUGUAUCCACGCUUGAGAACAUCUCCAAGAAGGCAGAUUCUUUGCCACAUCAUUGCGAGGAAACCCUCAGACAUGAAGAGCUGCUCUCUCGAGAGGCUCGUGUUUGUCGUGUUCAGCAGGAAACAAUGGAGAUUUAAGUGUUUACAGCGGUUAAAGGCCGUCUCGUCUACGGCAACAAGUAGAAGGUGUUUGAUCAGGGACUCUGUGUCCUCUCCUUCCCUUAAGCUCUUAAGGAAGAGAUAUAGCAAUCCAUUUUCCUCGGCAUACGCCUUGUUCAGUACACUGAUGAUCAGAGUUCUGUUUUUCAUGGAAGAUCUUCGAAGGGCUAUUUCUAACUCAUCUUUUGGUGCAGCUUUUCUCUGGCAACAAACAAGAACCAAAAUGCAUGAGCACAGUAAUUUGAGAAAAGAGAGAAAAUGGUACUGAGAUAAACAAGUUCCUUAAGUUCGUUAGGAUUUUCCAAGUAAUUAAAAUUUCGGUGACAUUGAGAAAGUUUUUGCUACCCAGGUACUCUUUUUUCUCCUCCUUACCUUUUUCCUUUUUUUUUUUAUUUUAACUUAUUACAAUAUUUUAUUUAUAUAUCAUUAGGGAUCUCCCCAAAUUUUGUGACCCAGUAACAGUUGGUCUGAUGUUCUUAAAUGAUGAUUUUGGCUACUAUUUGGGAAUGAAUAUGUUGGUUUGACUUAUGAGUCUCGAUACAUGCUUAGUAAAUGAGUAGCUACUUUUGUCGUAUAAAGGAGCUCAAAGGGUCAAUCUAGGUAAAAAUAUAAACAUUACAAAAACAAAGUAUAAAUGUGUGAGUUCGCAUGUGCAUACCUUGGUAAGAUAUACUGGGAUAUAUGGUAUGAAAGGGUUCGUAUCUUUGUCCUGAUUUUUAAAAAUAAUUUUUUAAAAAAAAUGUAAUAUGAAAUAAUAUAGGAGAGCAUGGUGGACUGUUUGUAAUUCUUACAUCCAUGAUGUUUGUUUGAUAAUAAAAAAUAUAAACUUGAAAGCAACUCUUUUUGCUUCUAAUUUUUUUUUUUAUAAAAACUGUCAUUCAUCACUUCGUUUGUUUGGCAACAAAUAAUAAAAUUAAACAUGGAAGUGAUUUUUUUUUGCCAAUUUUUUUAAAAAAAUUUGUCAUCCAUUGCUUAGUUGGAAUGCAAUUAGAGAGAAGUCUUUUUAUCAAUAUAUCAAAUUAUGUUGAAAUAACAUUUUAAAAAAAGUUGUAAAAAAUAACAACAAGACCAAAGAAGCUCAUACUUUACUGGUUAGGUGAAGUCAUGCGGAGAAACUAUGCCAUGGGAGAAUUCAAAUGUAGAUGCAUAACAGGAAGAAAACUAGAAAAGAAUUCAAACAUGCAAAUAUUGGUGACUCAAUUUUCUAAAUAACUAUUAAAGUAUAGAUAAAUAUAGAGAUAUUAGAAAUCUCCAAAUUAAUCUGCACAUUAAGGAAAAGAAAAUCAAUAUUAAUAUCCACCAAGUUACAAUCUCCAUUAAACACAUGCAUAUACAACUUCAAUUCACAAAGGAAAGAUCUACGGUAAAGUGAGACAUACCGUGAUCGGUACGCGCUGGAACCAGGAGAAGAGCACUGAGUCCUCCUUCGCAGGCCACAAGCAAGUAUAUGUGCCAGCGAAGAUCAGAAGAGAGAUGAUAACAAGGCCGACAAAGCGGUGGGAGGCGCGUUCCAUCCCAGUGAAACUCGUCGAGGAGGCCAUUUUCGGAUUUAAGGUGUUGAUAAACCUUCAAGGGAGGAAGAUGAACAAUAUUAGCCAACAUAUAUAUAAUUGAUCCUAUAUAAAGAUUUGGUCUCUCUCUCUCGAGCAAGGUGUGGGACUAUGGAUAGUUGUGUUUUGUGUGAACAACUAAUUUCAAUACGCUAGCAAGUACGUAGCCAAGUCAUGCAAGUUAGUCCCCUUCUUUGUUAUGUGCAUGCUUGGUGCAAACAUUUUUUUUCACUUGAGAGGGAGAGAGAGAGAGAGAGAGAGAGAGAGAGAAAAUGAGAGUCUUCGCUAGAAGUAACACAUUGUAAUGCAAGUUUAGUGGACUCCUUUGAUAUGUAAUAGUCCCCUUCUUUCUCUUGCUUUAUUCUUAUUGGCGCGGGAGUUAAAUUUAACAACAAAAAAGGUGUUAAACUUGCUUUGCGCAAUAAUUUCUACGCUAGAAAGAUACAUAGAGAGAGAGAGUGUGCUUAUGCUAGUACCUAAGUACCUUCCUUUGAUAUAUAAUAGUCCCCUUAUUUCUCUUGUUUUAUUCGCAAAUCAAUUCUAAAUGUACACCUAUAGAAUAUAGAUAUAUAUCGUAUAUGCAUUACACUUUCUAUUACUAAGAGUUAUCUACAAGUACUGACUGUCCCUAGAGCAAGUGGCGAAGGGCUUGGUGGUUGGUACCCGAAGUCUCAAGUUCGAAUUCUAGUUGAUUCAUAUUUUUAGCUAAAUUUAUUUCUUAAUGAAAUAAACGAAGCGGGUAGCGUGCUAUCUAUCUCUAAAAAAAAAAGGAAUUAUCUACGAAUCUUUUUAUUUCUUAUUAAUUUCGUUUAUAAAAAUAGGUUUUUUUAGAGAGAGAGAGAGAGUUGAAGUGUUUUUUUUUUUUUUUCCGUAUUUGACUCUCACGAACUUCUAUGUUCAUGAAUAAAGUUUUGGUACCUCAAAUCUUAAGCAACACGAUGUCAAAUUGCCGGAGUAUACGGGGAUACGUUUCCUUAAUUCACCCUCUCCCAUGCGAGAUGCCCCUGUUAUCACAUUCGCAUCGUGUAGAUCGAUGCAUCAAAUUAAUAGACGAGAAUUAAAAAUAUAUAUAUACAAUGCCGUAACUCUCUAUUCUCUUAAUUGACAUUUAAAUGUAUUCUCUCUCUCUUUUUCCUCUUUUGAGCAACUAAUUGAUACAAAGUUGUAUUAAGCGUAAUACGAAGGUCACGGGGGAGCAUGUGAUCAUGGUUGUAAUUAGCUCUCUAAUAUUAUCGUAACUGUUUGAUGCGUAAUAAAUGUUUGAGACGCUUCAGGAGAGAGCAUGUGACCACAUUAUCACCAAAUUAAGGAGAUUUUUUUAUACAAACGAUAUUAUUAGAUUUGGAUUGGAAAUUAUAUAAUUUCACAGCUACAAAAAUUGGUUCAUUUAAGGAAAAUCUAGUUUUGUACUUUGAUCACUACAUUAAAAGCUACUUCCAAGUUCGUAAAUUAAUUCACAUGCAAAAAACAAAUUAAAACUUUGGUUAUGUUUUUCUCAAACAAUGUUCCAAAAUUAUUUCGACAUGUGUUGAGUUAUAACAGAUAGUUUUCCUUAAUUGAACCUUUUCACUAUUAACCGAUUGAAUUUGACCGAAUUCAAUAAAUCUGAUAUGCUUUUUAUAAAUUAAAAUGGUAAAUUAAUUCGAUUAGAGGGGGAAAAAAAUCCCACCUGAUAGGAUGAUUUGUUACCACCAUUGGAGCACGUUUUCUCAUCCUCUAACAAGUACUCUUGGCGAAAGUGUGUGAGAAAUUUAAAAAGAAUGAGAGAGAGAAACAAAUAUAAGUGAAACUUAUUGCUAUAGAUGAGGUGGCUCAGAUAAUAAAAAUGAUUCAUAGUAAUAUUUCUCCACGUAGAUAUGAUCUUUCGAAACAUCCAACUAGAUCCCCUCGUGGCGGUGUACAGAUUUAAGGAGCUGCUGAAAUUCUGGGAGCUAUGUGUAUAAACUGCUAGACAUGCUACCAUAGCUUCUUUUCUUUUUUUUUUGUUUCGCGCCCCUCCUUCGAGGCCCUGGCUGUCUCACCCAUGUAGCCUAAUUCAUAUUUUCAAUGAAUGAAGCAGGUAGCAUGCUACCUUUUCUCAAAAGUAAUAUUUCUACACAUAGAUUAUGUAAUUUAGAAAGGCAUUAAAUUAAUUGAAAUUCUUCUAUUAAAUGGAAAACAAGAAUGGAAGGUGAAUUUAUCACUGUUUAAAUCCAUUUUAAAUUUAGAAAGAAUUUAAAGCAGAUUCAUUAGAGUGUUGAAAACGUACUUGAGUUAUUUUAGAUUAUUAACAAAACAGAACAAGGCGUAUAUAAGUAAGAGUCCAGGAAUUAAAGCGAUCGAAAGCUCUAGAAAAUACAUUCAUUCAUUAUUAACUAAUCAACUAAUGAAGAAACGCAUAAAAACAUGACAUGUGGCGUAAAAACUAAUUAACCCUCGCACACUGCACGACUUUUAAAGUGUAAUACUAGUGUAGAGACCCGCGCGAUGCAGCGGGUAGAUAAUAAAAGCAAAAUUUAAAAAUUGUAAUAAAACUUAUAUUUACAGUUUAUUGAUAUAUAGAAAGUUAUACCAUAUUAAAUACAUCCAAUUUGCAUGACUAAGUUCACAUGGUGAGUAGGGGCCCCGCAAGGACCGGCUCAGCAGACACUUAUAUGGGCCGUGGCUUGGCUUCGCGGAAUGAUACUUCUCGAAGGAGACAAUGUUCUUUAGAGGCUCCUUUUUUUCUUCUUCUUCAUUAUCUUCGUUAAGAUAAUGAGAGAAAGAGGGAGAUGAGUGUGGAGUGGGAGAUUAGAAGAUAAUAUAUUUUUUUAUGAUGCAUAAAAAAAAAUUACAAAAGAGACGGGUGGGAGAUUAAUGGAAAAGAGUUACAAAAGAGAUAGGGUGAGAGAUUAAUGGAGGAGGGGAGUGAAUUAAAGUUAUAAAGCUCACUCAUUGAUGGAAUAUUAAUAUGAUGCAUAUAAUUAAAUAUUGCACCUUACAUGUAAUUAGAUGAGUGGGGAUGUGAAGGGUUGGGCGGUGAGAAGAGGAGAAGGCGAUUUGAUUUAAAGUUUGAUUUAAAGUUGCAUGUAAAUGUAAUUAGAGGAGUGAGAAGGUGAAAGGUUGGGUGUUGAGAAGAUGAGAAAGUGGUUUGAUUUAAAGUUGGGUUAUGAGAAUAAAAGAUAACAUGCCACGUGGUAAAAAAUAUUGUGGCUUCAUAUAGGUUUAUAGAUAAAUUGUUUUUUUUUUUUUUUUUGAGAAAUAGAUAGCACGCUACCCGCUUUGUUUAUUUCAUUUAGAAAUAAAUUUAGCUGGAAAUGUGAAUCAACCAGGAUUCAAAUUUGGAUCUCGGAUACCAACGACCAAGCCCUUUGUCACUUGCUCUAAGGAUAGUCGGUAUAAUAUAAAUUGUUCUCUCAUGUGUGGUAACGUUACGGUGCCUUGAAUCUGAAGCGAGGGUGUGAAUGUGUGAUGUACAAAGUUGCCUUAUUCUGGAGAUGAGCUCCUCCCGAGGAUUUUUCCCAUGCGGAAUAAAAAGUUGUUUUUCCCACUCGAAUUACCAUACUAUGUAAUGUGACCGUUCCCAUUAUUAAGGACUGGCAAAUAAAUUGAGAAUACUUAAGCGUCAUUGUAAAUCACAAAUUAUUCUUCCAAAGUAUGAUCUGAUUUCAGUAUUACUGGUUUUUUUUUUUUUAUGAAAGACUUUGUACAUUACAUUUCAAAAGUUGAAGGAGUACAAUCAACCAUGGCUAACUUAGUUGGCGUCUGAGAUUCUAAAUUCGAAUCAUAAUUAUUUAAUAUUUUUUUAAAAAUUUUAUUUUUAAAAAAUAAAUAGAUAGCAUGUUACUUUUCUCUCUCUAGAAAAAAUAAUUAAAGAGGGAUAGAUAUGUUAUAACGUGAACAAUUUCAGCAGAAUAAAUAAGUUCGAAGAGACCUUUUGUACCAAGGCUGGUCUCGUCGGAGCGCUCUAAAAUAACUUGUCGUUAUUAUUAUUAUAUACUUUUGGGAGGAAAAAAAGUUAACCAUUGUCAUUAUUAUAUAUAGAGAGAGAAGAUAAGAAAUAAUAUAAAACCUUCAAAACUAAACUUAGGAAAGAUAGUAAAUAUGGCGCUUAAAUCUUAAUAAAAAAGAACAUGGUGAUUUGAGAAAAACACACUCGCGCACAAACACUCUCAAAUGGGCCUACGCAUUAAAGCACAAAUAUUUUGGCAACAUGUUUCCAAGGAUCCAUCAGUUGCUAGAGCAGUUGUUCGGUACUCUCAUUGCAGUACUAUUAAUCAUGAGUUUGAAUUCGGAACCUUUACGGAUUUUCAGAGUCUCAGAAAAGAAGAAGAAGAAGAAGAAGAGAACAUGUACUUUUAGAUCCAUUAACGAAUCCACAAUCAACCAAGGGGUCACAUGGUCCGGCCCAUUUAUCAUUACAGGCGGAGUGGGGCCCAAUAACAGACCAUCCGGACACGGGUAACAGAUUAACGGUGAACCAACCCAAGAAACCCACCCGACCCGAACUACCUGAUAAAAAAAAAAGAUCUGAUCGAAUUUGAGGCCAUAUCUUUGAAUUGAACCUCAACGUUUCUCGUAAUUACAAAUAGCUCCUCGUUCCUCUUCUCCACCUCCCCUUUCUUUCCUCUCUCCUGCUCUUCGGAUUCACCGAGAACCCCCCAACCCUAGCGCGGAGGGUUCCUCCCAUCUCCCCGAUCUUCUUCCCCACGAAACCCUAACCCUAAACCUAAUUUCUACGAUUCAGGGGACUAAACCUAGUUUCUCCCCCUCUGUGCUCUUCUCUCGUAGUCCUCAAAUCGAUCUUCCGUGUUCGAAACCGAGAAAUUUGGGCUCCUUUCAUGGCUUGGUGAGGGAGAUCGAAGAGGAGGGGGAGAUGUAUAAAGAUCGAGGAGUCGCUGGGGCGAAGGCGGAGAUCGGAUCGUUGGAUCGGAAGAGGAUCAACGACGCCAUGGACAAGAACUUCGAGAAGCCCUCGUCUUCUUCCGCUUCCCGUGGGUUGAAUGGGAAGGAGAAGGAUCGGUUCGUCGUGCCCUCGUCGUCGGCGGGGAAGCACCCGGACCCCCGGGACCCGCGCUCCUCCUCCCUCUCCAAGGACAAGUGCUCCGAAGGUUAGGGUUUCGAUUGACCGCUUGCUCUUUCUCUGUUUCUUUGAUAUUUCCCUCGUGAUUUAGAUGAUUGUGAGAAGGUAUUGGACGAUUCUCUGACGUGGGAUCUCUUUUUUGUCCAAGAAUUGGUGAUUGGAGAUGCAGAUUUGGUGCGAUGAUUGUUUUUGCACAUGAUUGUUUGUUGCACAAUUUAUGUUUUAAAUGUUUAGAAAACUUUCAGAUGCUCAAUAUGAGACCUAAUAUGAAUGAGACAGCUAAUUCUGCUAUGACAUGCCAUCGUUGAAUUGUUAUACACCCAAGUAGAAACCCUACCUUGGGUAACAAGUAGUGCUACAAUUUAAUAAUCUAGGCGGUUAGUUCCAUGGCAGGUGAAGGUAUUGAAUAGUUAAUAUUGUUGGUAAACUUUAUCCAUUCUUUAGAUUUAUACGGUUGCUAGCUCUAGAUCAGCCUGGUUGCUAUUCGUUAUGUAUGCACUUAUAGAUGCACAUGUUGAUACUAUGCAUGAUUUACAGGCAAAUUUUCUUUUCUAAAUACUUGUUGGUGUCAUUUAUAACAGUUUUUUCAGGUGCUUAUUCAGUAAUUUGUGUGUUUACUUCUUCUUAUCAUUUGAUUGAAAAAUAGAGCUAGGCUAGAAUACUUCUAGAAGUAAAUAGGGUCGUUUACUUCCAAGCUGUUGCCGAAAUUGGGGCAUUUGAAUUGACGUUUAGCACUGUUAAACAUGAUCUAGGGUAUUUGAACCCUCUAGGUAUUAAAUUUCGUAAUCUACAUAGCAUUCAAGUGGCUUAAAAAUUGACAGAUUUUAAUGGCUAUUAUAAGAUGAAUUUGAACCCACAUGAUCACCAGGCAAAUUAUAUCGUAAUAUUGUGAAAUUUGGUUUCUAAGAAGUUCAAAUAGUCUAGAUCUUGUUCAACUGAAUUGAUCGAUGCCCUACUGUCGAAAACAACAUGUAAGUAAAUGACCACGUUUACUUCUAGGAGUAUUCUAGCCUAGCUCUGAAUAAUUUAUCCUGGAUCUACAGUAGUGUAACCUUGCCUCUCAAUGUUUUAAACAGAUGAAUCUGAAUCUGACAGUGAAGAAUCAGAUCUUAGUGCUUAUGAUGAUGGAGAAGACACAUCGUGGAUAUCAUGGUUCUGUAACUUAAGAGGGAAUGAAUUCUUCUGUGAAGUUGAUGAUGAGUACAUACAAGAUGAUUUCAACCUUUGUGGGCUAAGCAGUCAAGUUCCUUAUUAUGAUUAUGCUCUUGAUCUUAUCUUGGAUGUUGAAUCUUCUCAUGGUAAGCUUGAUUUUAUUAUUUAAGAAGAUGCUAGCUUAUUAGCCAUAUGAAAAUAUGAAGCAAAAGACAUUGAUAAUUUUGAUUCGUAUAACUAGUUUUCAAUAAGUAGUUCUUGAGUCUAUGUGUUGUUGAAUAUAUAUAUGUUUGCAUUCAUUUUGUGAUAUUGUUGCAUAUCCAAAAUAUCAUAUUCUAAUUGCAUUUUCUUUUUAAAAUGCUUUUUGGAGACAUCAUGGAUUUUUAUUUUGAAAUCAAUCAUUCACAUUCUUUCUCUGUGAAGGUUUAAUUGCCUUGGCUUGCAUGGCUUAAUUGAGAACUCUCUUUUUUUUCUUCGAAUGGCUGCACAUUUAUGCUAUUUUUUUUGUUUGGUAAGGCCGUUGACUAUAUUGGGUCUCUUUUUAAGAGUUGCAAACAACUUCUAAGCAUCUUUAAUGUAUAACUAAGCCUCUUAUGUAGACAUCACAUAUUAAAGCCAAUCAAAGUUGUUUACUUCUUGAUGAUUUUUUGCAUCAGAUCCAUUUAUUUGUCUUCAAAAUUUUCUUCGUUGCUGAUGCUACGAAACUUUCAUGAUCAAGAAUUAAUUUGCUUAUUCAUACUAGUUGUAGUUUUGAUGACUCUACCCAUCUGAGCCUUGGUUUUAUGUGUAUUUUGUGUUCUUUUAUUUUGUCAAAACCAAUCACAUAUAUAGACACAUUAUUUUCCCAUAAAAGUGUCGUAGUUUUUUCCUCCAAGUCUACACUCAGUCUCUCUUUUCUCUCUUGAAUCUUCCUUUCAUGCCUAGUAUGCAAGUAAUUUUGAUGGUCAAUCUACUGCCACAAGGCCAUAUUGGUUUCUAGAUGCAUGCCUUUGCCACGUAAUGCUUAUAAGGUCAGUUGCUUACAUAGGUCAAUAGUUUGAACCAUAACUUUUGUUCUACUAGUUUUUAUAUUGUUGGUGUCCUGUAUUGAUGUUAGUGGCGGUCCCUUGGAAUUUUGAAAACCUUGAAAUCUCUUUUUUUUUUUGAGAGAGAGAAAGGUAUCAAGCUACCACUUCGUUCAUUUUUUAGAAAUCAACUCAAUUAGAAAUAUAAAGCAACUAGGUUUCGAACUUGAGACCUUAAGUACCAACCAUCAAGCUCUUAGCCAACUGCGCUAGGUACGGUUGGUAAAGCCUUGAAGUCUUGUUAAGUAAGUUUGCCAACUUCAUUUAUGGUUCUUAUUUUCAGUACACGGUUAAGUACUAAUAUAGGUAUAUAUUUCUACUAAUGUAAAAUAGCAUGUGCAAUAUACUUUGAAAUAUGCUACGUUUUUCCGUUCGGCUUUUUAUUUCUUCUCUGAACCUUGAUGUAAUUCCAUGCCUUUCAUCUCGUGAGCAUUUAUGCAUCAUGUUUUGCUUUCCCUUAUUUUCUUUUUUGCUUUUUUUUUUUCGUGAUCUUGUUUUGGUUUUCUUCAUUUUUGCUGUUAAAAUCUAGUUCACCAACUGGUCUAAGGGCCUGUUUGAUCAGCUGGAUCUCCUAUGAACACAAGUGCUGUUUAAGUAUAGCCAUUCACCGGGGCACGGCAGCUUUUUUGGGUACAAUUCCCUAACAGCGUCCUGGUGGAAACAGAGGCUUCAAAUUAGACCUUUUGCACUGGGGGCAGAAGCUGAACUUCAGCUUCCCGCCACAGCAAAAAGCUCCAAUGCUUCUCGGAGCGGAAAAGUGGUACCAAAAGGCAAAAGCCUGGCGAGAUGGGUAGUGGACCAAUUUAUAUUGAUGGCACUUGGUUAUGUGAACGUGCAGGUGAUAUGUUUACAGAAGAGCAAAAUGAGUUGGUGGAGUCAGCUGCAGAGAUGCUAUAUGGUUUGAUUCAUGUUCGCUACAUUUUAACUAGUAAAGGGAUGGCUGCAAUGGUACUACACUAUUAAUCCUAAGAGUCUCAUGGUUGCAUUUUCAUGGUCUAUCAGAUUUGGUUGGUUACAACUAUCUAAAUUUUUUUUUUCUUUCGCAGCUUGAUAAGUUUAAGAACUAUGAUUUUGGGCGAUGCCCUCGAGUUUACUGCUGCGGCCAACCAUGUCUCCCAGUUGGGCAGUCAGAUAUUCCUCGAUCAAGUACUGUAAAAAUAUACUGUCCCAAAUGUGAAGACAUAUAUUAUCCAAGAUCCAAGUACCAAGGCAGUAUCCUUUCAUUCUUGAUUGAGUUCUUGCUAGUACUUUGAUGCUAAUUCAUUCAUAUUUUGUAUGCAUUUAGUCUCAUUCUGGUGAACAUUUUAUCAUUCUCUUUCCUCAAGCCACCAAAUUAAAUGUGAAAUUGGCUGCUAUCUAUUUCCUCGGCUUCCAACUACGACUAGCAUAUGCAUAUAUACCUUCUUUUCACCCUACUCUCUCAGGAAAAUAUUCAUGUUUUCUGGAUGGCCCCUUUGAAGCGUCUAGGAAAGUGCUAUUUGACCAUACGGCUGUUUGAAGAAGCACUAAUAGCUUUUUUCAGUAAAAGUCUCUUUUACACCUUGCUAUAGAGGGAGCAAAAGCAGAAGCUUGAAGUCAGAUCAUUUCCUUUUGGAACUAAAGAGUUCAUUCAAUUAUGUCAUAUUUAACCAUGGCAUAGUUGUUAAAGCUCCCCAUAAUCUGUUUAUUUGUAGUUAAAGAGCACACUCUCUGCCUUCUUUGGAUUGUAGCGCUACAUGGUACCUGCCUUUCAUUCUGUCGUAAUAUCUCCUAGUUCAUUCUCUUGACUCACCAUAGAUGUCGACGGAGCUUAUUUUGGAACAACAUUUCCACACCUGUUCCUGAUGACGUACGGGCACCUCAAACCACAGAAGCCUUCACAGCGGUAUAUUCCCAGAGUAUUCGGCUUCAAAAUCCAUAAGCCAUGAGAAGGAAGACCGUAGCUUGCGAGGUGUAGCAAAGACGCGAGAAGAUUAUUGCUCCCUUCUCAUCAUCCUUUAACUUGGUGAAAUGUUUGUAAUGGGCUUAACUUCUUAUGACGAAGCUGCUGUUUCACUUGAUCUUGUUGUACCCGAUGAGUAAGUGUAACUUAUCGUUGCUAUUUAUUAACUUGUACUAGUAGCUAUUUCCCCCCUCCCCCCCCCCUUUUUUUUGUUAUAUUCAUUUUAUCGAAGAUUUCAUGGGCUCCUCAACCUUGCGAUCUUCGUUCUCAAUUAAGAUGCUGUUAUGCUGCCGGCAAAAACUCACGGACGACUCACCAGUUUAUGUAUAAUAAUUGUGAUCUUAGGUGGCGAGAUAUUCCACGUGUAUUGUCUUGAUGAAUGGGUAAUAUUGUUAUGGAUGAAUACGAUUGUUAUGGUGCUCAUUCAUCAAGAUAAUAUCCAUGGAACAUUUCUUCUGACAUGUUUUCGUGCCCAGUUUUCAAUGUUCGUUGCCUUUGCGGAUCGAGCUUAGUUUUCUUUUUCAGUUUUUUCCUCGUUUUGUCGACUGUCGAUUCUAGCUGAUGACGCGGAUGUCUCACCCUGCUUUUGGCUGAUGAUGUGGGAUUCUCAUCCUUCUUGAAAUUAUGCCUUCUAUGCUUGGCUAAACAGCUAUGCACUCUCUAUUAUUAUUACUAUUUUUUAUUGUUAAUAUAAAAGCAAAUGGGCGAUGCCAAUUUAAUUAAGAAAGAAACAAGCCAGUAGAAAAUGUGCCACUAGAUUCAUUCAAUUUCGAUAGCCAACAGAUACGGCGUUACCACUCGAACAUAAACAGUCGAUUAAUGAGGAAUCCCCUUAGUACUUAUUCUCUUAUAUCUUAUCCUAAUUAUUUUUGGUCAUGUUGAUGAAAGUGGUUUGGGAUUGGCGGAUUGCUAAGAAAAGAGGCAAAGUAAAAUAUUUUCUAGAGUCGUAGAUGGUCAUUGACAUCAUUAGGAAACACAUUUUUUCAUACUUCGGAGUGAAAUAUUUGCAAAUAUAGAAAUUGUUACGGCUUCCUACCCAGUGAAAAAUUUGUCUUAAUUGUUGGCUUAGUCUUCGUAAGCAUCUUCAUAAUUUGUAAAUAAAGAUGCAGAUUUCAAAGAAUAGUAAAUAAUAAAAUGGAAUAAACUAGUAAUCGAAGGGUUCUCAAUCACUCUCCUAAAAUAAACCCAUGACCAGUUCCCUCUUCCAACUCCCACAAAACCAGCAAGACCUCUCUCCUUUUAUCAAAAAAAAAAAGAAAAAAAAAAAAAAGAGCUUUGUUGACAUUUCUUUCUCUCAUCCAACUAUCCUAAUAAAAGAAUUAGUCUGAUUACAAAGUAGUCCCUAAUAAAAGUCUGAUGCUGCUUAUUUUAAUUAAACUGAGAGAAAAAAAGUGUUAAAAAGUUAGAUCUUAGAACAAAAAACUCACAGGUUGUCGAAUUAUGGAUCAUUUUCGAGAGUCGCAAACCAACAUCUCAUACUCUGUCCUAUAAAAAGAUAUUCUUCCCCUUGUUUCAAAUACAUUAAUAAAGGAGAAAAUCAUUUUCCACAAGAACUUAAUGAUUAUUUCAAAAAAAAAUAUUUCUUGGGUUAGGAAUGGAUUUGUAAUUUUGAGGAAUUUCGAUAAGAAGUUCUAAGAUCUGACGCAAAUGGGUACAGCUACAGGGACUAUCCAUACAUUUUUUAACCAAUAAAUAAGCGAACAAGCCUAGUCAUUCGUGGGCCCAAAGAAAACGAUUUUAAUUAAAAAAAGGAAAAAUAAUAAAAAAUCAUAGGUUUAUAGAGAGCGAGAGAGAGAGAGAGAGAGAGAGAGAGUUUUCUAGGAUUUGAAUGUGGGGAGAAAGAGAUAAGCCCAGUGGAGGCCCCCUCUCUCGCUUCGGUUGAUGAAGCAGGCGCAGAAGCAGCGCGAAAUUCUUGAUUUAGAUGCAUCAGAAGCGCUCCGACUCUCUCAUCGGAAAAGAUAGCACCUUCGCUCUCUCUUCCGAUCCCGCCCCCUCCGCUCCUUCGCCUCCCUUCUUCCCCUUCCAUCAUUUCCCCAACCCUAACCCUAACCCUAACGCUAAUCCCCAUCCCCAUCACCAUGCUCCUCUCUCCACCCCGCACAAGCGCCCUCUCAUGACCGCCGCCGCCGCCGCAGCCGCCACCACCACCUACGCCGCCGCGCCUCCCCUCCGCGCGCCGCCGCCGCCGCGAUCGCCGCCGCAUCGCUUCCGGCCCCGCCACCCGCCUCGCCCUCCGCCGCUUCCUCCGCCGCCUCCACCUCCGCCUCCGCCUCUUCCUCCUCCUCUCCUUUCCCUUCCUCUACCUCCUCCUCAACCCCUCGUCGUCGUCGUCGUCCUCGUCCUCGUCCUCCUCCGCCCGCUCCUUCCUCCUCGACUUCCUCUCCGCCGCCGCCUUCUCCUCCGUGCUCCUCCUCGUCCUGCUCUACCUCUCCUUGAAGCCCCUCCCCUGCACCUCCCUCCGCCUCCUCCUCUCCCGCUCCUCCGCCCUCCUCCCCCGCUACUCCAUCCCCGGCCGCCGCCGCCGCCCCGCGCCCGCCCGCGUCCUCUGGUCCAUCGGCGACAAGCCCAAGCUCGAUCGCCGUCCCGCUUCCGGCUCCUGGGUCCAGGUCUACAGCAACGGCGACGUCUACGAGGGCGAGUUCCACCGCGGCAGGUGCUCGGGAAGCGGCGUCUACUGCUACUACAUGAGCGGGAGGUAUGAGGGGGAUUGGGUGGAGGACAAGUACGAUGGGUUCGGGGUGGAGACUUGGGCUAAAGGGAGCCGAUACAGGGGCCAGUAUCGGCAGGGGCUCCGCCAUGGCUACGGCGUGUAUCGGUUCUACACGGGCGAUGUGUACGCCGGUGAGUGGUCCAACGGGCAGAGCUACGGGUUCGGGGUGCACACCUGCGAGGACGGCAGCCGAUACCUCGGGGAGUUCAAGCGGGGGGUCAAGCACGGCCUCGGGCUCUACCAUUUCAGGUAUAGAUUACUACUCACUGGGCUCUGUUGAAUUCUCUUAUUUGUUCUUCGUAUUCCUUCCUUUUCUGAAUUAGGUGAACCAAAUUCUUCAGUGGCCUUGCUAUUUGUAUCUUUGUGAAUCCUUGUGUUUUUAUGCCAUUAACAUUCCAUUCUCGUUGUUGCUUUUAUGUUCGGACGGUAACAGAUUUGAUUAUUGUUGUACCUGUUAAUGCCGAAACUGCCGGUACCUGCUCUUAUGGUUGCUGUGCUACAUGAAAUUGUUCGUUACUUCUAUGCCCUUUUGUUAUUUUAAAAAUUGUUUAUUACGAAACCAUCCUACAUGGGCAAAUUAUGAUGCCAUGUUAUCCCAAUAUUUCCUUAUGCUGAACAAUUUUAAAAGUAAAGUGAAAAAAAAUGCUGAUUUGCUGUUGAAAUUAGGCCAUAAUCUUGAAGUUUGCUUAUUAGGAUGCAACUUGACAUCUUUCUAUCAUCAAGCAUUAUCAUGGCAUGCCGUUCCAAUAUUAGCUAGCCAGCGUGCCAUUUUAACUUUUGUUUUAAUUGUCAAUCACUGUCUUUAGUGGAUGUUUGCUGCAGGACUUGACUGUAGAACAUGAUAAAAUUCUAGCUAUUUACUAUACAAAUCAAACUAUAGUGAAGAAAAAUCAAAAUUUACAUAUAAUUUGAGGGCAUUUUAUGGAAUUCACUUGUGGAGGUCCUCUCAGGAAAGUUUCCGUACCCCGUUUGCUGCGUCUACAGUUGAAUGACGAGAACUGAUUAGUUAGUUUUGUUGGUACUGUUUUUAAUUUUCCCAUUGUGUUCUGAAGGAAUGGCGACACCUAUGCUGGAGAAUACUUUGCAGACAAGAUGCAUGGUUUCGGGAUUUAUCACUUUGCAAGCGGGCACCGCUACGAGGGAUCAUGGCAUGAGGGCAAGAGACAAGGCCUUGGGAUGUACACAUUCAGAAACGGAGAGACUCAAUCAGGUCAUUGGCAAAACGGCGCCCUCGAUACUUUAAGCACCCAGAAUGCUGUUCCUGGAUCACCAAUUGCUAUUAACCACUCUAAAGUACUUAAUGCUGUUCAGGUGCUCAACUUUCUUUCUUUACUUGUAGACCCUAAAGCAAAACACCUUCUCCCUUAAUUGCUAGCCUUUCAACUGUUACAGUUGGCUCCCUGUCCUUCACGUUCGUUGCAAUAUUACCCUUCUUUUUAGAUUCUUUAUGUUGAAUUGGACAAUAAUAUCCAUGUAAACCAUCAUGUAACUGACACAAAAGGCAACUUUGGGAGUUCUGAUAUGGUCAUGAUUGCUCGAAUAUCUCUAUCCAAUUUAACUAAGAAGCUUAGUGGGAAGGAUUAGAUUGUCCAAUUGUAACAAUCGAAAGUUUGGGGACCAGAUUGAAACAUUCUAAAAAGGUUUUGGGCCCCUGGUACAAUUUACUUGAUAUCCCCCAAGGGCUAACACUCCUUUAUGUUCAGGAAGCACGAAGGGCCGCAGAGAGGGCUUACAAUGUGCCCAGGGUGGACGACCGGGCGAACAAAGCUGUCGCAGCAGCCAACAAGGCGGCCAAUGCAGCUCGAGUAGCUGCAGUCAAAGCUGUUCAGAAGAGAAUCCCAAAUAGUAGCAGUGAGAUUCCUCCAAUCCCAGUUGUCUGAGAGGCCUUUACUCUGGAUAUACAAAUACACUCACUUUAGAGAAAGCAGACUGGUGCCUUCUCUGAGCAAAGGUAACAAAGAUACAGGGGCGAGGAGCACGCACCUCGGCGCAGCUUCGUGGAAUCCCCGUCUUUUGUUGUUCUCAUCAUCUUUUCUCUCUUUUAUAGACCUCGGAGAGCAAGGGAACUGCUUCGAGCAAACAUUCAGUCAUCAAAGAUAUAGCUGAUUGAGGCCGCCAGGUUUCUCUUCGCUUUGUUUCAUUGUAGUAUGCAAAUAGAUGAGCGGCUAGGAUUCAACCGCCUCUUUGCAGCUUGUAUGUAUAGGACUUUUUUUCCCCUCCCCUCCCCUAGUACUGGUGAUAAUUGCGAGUUGAGACCUCGUGCUAGUCCGAUAUUUCCAUUCAGAUAUCGUAGUUUUCUGAAAUGAGAUGACAGUCAUGAUCAACGCGGCUCUGCGUUUGGCUUGUGGAUAUGCUUUCAUGUUAUGCUUAGUAAUCAUCAGGAACUCUUUUUUUCCUUUUCCUUUUUCUUGUUUUCUCUUUAAACUUUCUAAAAAUAGAAAUCCUAAGAGGGGGCUUUAAUGGUAGCGUUCCUAUCUAUCUAUCUAUUAUUACAUGGAAGUUUGAGAAAAAGCAAAGCCUAUACUGAAGGAUAUUAUUGUAUGUGGCGCGUUGUAUGGAGAGCCACUAAUGAAAAGAUAAUCUAAUCAAUUUAUAUAAUGUACGAAUGCAUGGAAAAUUACUUUUCAAAAAAAGUAUUUUAUGAAAAAUAGUAUUUUCUCAAAUUUAGAAUUUAAACUAAUAAUAAAAUUAAAAAGACUGAAAACAAAUUUUGUUUUUAGGAGAAAAAAAAAAUCCAGCCAGCUAGAAAAGUUUCUUUCUAGAAUAGAAUACCCAUUGGGAGGAGGGCUGGCUUACACGGUCCAGUUGCUCUCUGUUAGAACCCCUCGACGGAAGGAGUCGGUCGGUACAGCUUUCGUGCCCAUCAGGAUCAGCAAUCAGCCAAUCAGCGACCUUCCUUCUCUUCUUUAUUUGUGGGUCCCACUGAUUCGCCCCCGCGGCCUAUAAAUUAUAAAACGCGACCUUUCUUCCUUGCUCACCCGUAUUUCGCUGGCUGUUACAUUUAUUGCUAUCACGAUACCUUGACGUACAUCUACGCACCCAAUCACAAUUUUUUGCACCAAACACCACCCGCUCCUCUCUCUCUCUCUCUAGCGUCCCCCCGCUCCUACCCGUGCUAUCGUGCGCCGUCGUACGAAAAACACCGCAGCUAUCGUGCGCCGGCCGGAUCCGUUGGUCCGCGAUGCUGAUGCUGGUGAACUGCUCCGGGUGCCGCACCCCGCUGCAGCUCCCCCCGGGCGCCCACUCCAUCCGCUGCGCCCUCUGCCACGCCGUCACCCACGUCGCCGACCCCCGCGGCGCCCCCCCGCCGCCGCAGCACUCCGCCGCUCCGCCGCUCCCGCCGCCGCCGCAGGGGUCGCCGUGGGGCCCUCCGCCGCCGCCGUCCCCGCACGGGCGCAAGCGGGCGGUGAUCUGCGGGAUCUCGUACCGCUACUCGCGCCACGAGCUCAAGGGCUGCAUCAACGACGCCAAGUGCAUGCGCUACCUCCUCAUCAACCGCUUCCGCUUCCCCGACUCCUCCAUCAUCAUGCUCACCGGUCUGUUUCGCUUACGGUAACCCUGUUCAUCGAUCCCCCUUUUUUCCCCUUUUUUUUCUCUUCUUCUUCUUCUUCUUCUUCUUCUUCUUCUUCUUUCUUUCUUUUCGGAAUUCUACGUCGAGGAUUUUUUGUUUAGGGUUUGAUCGGUAGUGUUUAAGUCCUCUCGAUCGGUAGGGUUUCACGAUUUGAGCGCCGCGCCCAGAAUCGACGUCCUUCUUUUUAAAAUUUCUGUUUCUUGUUUCUUUCGGAUAUUUAGGGUUUUUGAUUAGUCGACCCACCCUUGAUCGUGUUCCUCGUAUUCCAUAAUCCUGUCUUUUUUAAUUGUCGAAUCAAUUUUACGAGUAAUUAUAUGAUUGAUCACGCAGAGGAAGAAACUGAUCCAUUCAAGAUUCCGACCAAGCAGAAUAUCCGAAUGGCCCUCUAUUGGCUGGUUCAAGGUUGCCAGCCCGGAGACUCGUUGGUGUUUCACUACUCGGGCCAUGGCUCGCAGCAAAGGUGCUACAAUUCCGAUGAAGUGGACGGAUACGAUGAAACACUUUGUCCGCUUGAUUUUGAAACGCAAGGAAUGAUCGUAGACGAUGAGAUCAACGCCACCAUCGUCCGUCCGCUUCCUCGUGGGGCUAGGCUUCAUGCAAUUAUUGAUGCUUGCCACAGCGGCACCGUGCUCGAUUUGCCCUUCCUCUGCAGAAUGAAUAGGUAAAUUGUGUGACCAAAAUAAAUUCCAUUUUCCACCUCCUUCAUGGUAGUGAAAUAUAAAAGUACGACAAUACUGUGCAGUUGUAUAUGUAUGUAUUAGAGAAUAUGCGGACAUUCGUCGCCAUUUCUUCAUAUUAGUCGGUUAUUACCAUCUUAAAGUGGAGCGAUGCCGCUUAUGUUUGUUUCGUUGCUUACUUCUGGGCGUUCAUCAAUGAUACCAAAUGUUUGACGAAUCCAAGCCGCUAGUUGUAAACAUAUGUUCGAAAUUUAAAAUGGUAGCUGAUGAAUGGAUAUUUACUGUUCCAGGAGCGGGCAGUACGCCUGGGAGGAUCACCGCCCGCGGUCAGGUGUCUGGAAAGGUACGAGUGGUGGGGAAGCCAUUUCAUUUAGCGGCUGUGAUGACGACCAAACCUCUGCUGAUACCUCGGUAAUCUCUGUUUCCUUAAUAUUCAAUUACUCCAAUUAAGAGCGUAGCUUAGUGCCAUGGUGAGGCUUCUUCCGUUGUGCCAUCUCUUGUACCUGGAUAAGAUCAUGUUGAUUCUGCAUGCCGAGGACCAUGCAUUGCCAGGACAAAUGGUGCUUGUUAUGCGGAAUGGAGUGAUAUUAGUUUUUGCAAUUUUAGCAAUACAGUUCUUUUCUUAGAAGUAUGCAUCCAUAGUCAAAUCUUGGUCUGGUGUUUAAAGGAUAAGUCAUGGAAAUAACAUUCAAUCAGAAAGAAAUGAAGGCCGAUAUUGUUUAUGUCUUCUUAUAAUGAAUUUCGAUUGGAGUGGACAAAUUUCUAGUAGUUAACAAAGAUCCCUUGAGAGCAGAAAUUGUUUCUUAAUCUCAUCAUUAAAUCGACACUGCUUGAUCUUUUGUGCUUCGAUCCUUCAACUAAUUUCGUUUCACCAACACUGCUUGAUCUUUCCUUCAACUAAGGUUUUGCUCUCGAUUUCGAACAGGCCCUUUCGAAGAUCACCUCAACAGGUGCGAUGACCUUCUGCUUUAUCCAAGCUAUUGAAGGGGGCCAUGGAAUGACAUAUGGGAGCAUACUAAAUGCCAUGAGAUCAGCCAUCCGAAACACAGGCAAUGAUGCGAUGAGCGGAGGUGCUGUCUCUACACUCCUCACCAUGCUGUUGACGGGAGGCAGUGUUGGUGGUGGGUUGGGGCAGGUGAAAUUCUUGAACACGCUUUCCUAAUAUCAGGGUUUAGAAGUCCUUUUCUUGUGCUAAGAGCUUUUUAGGUGGUUGCGUAAUUGAUUACUAACAAAACCCAACAUGGUGGGCCAGUUUGGAUGUCAGUCAGACCAUACAGUCAUAAUAUUAGUUGCAUGGGGGGGUUGUUUCUUUGGCGACUAAAACAUAAAAGUAAAACUGCUGGCUUUUAAUGACUCGAAAGAUUGCCAAUGUUUUUUCAGAAUAGCUCAUCCACAUACGAGAUGAUUAGUCAUAUCCAGAGGAUUACUUUAUCCUUUCUACUCUUGGAUUCGUUUCAUGCCUAACUAACAAUUUGUGCUCAGAGCAAACAUCGAGGAGAUACACCAUUAGUUAUUCUAGCAUCUAACAGGCCCUUAAGCAUUCAUGUCCAGGUGCAUGCUUGCAUUCAUUUUUAACUUCCUGUUGAUCUCAUGAAGUGGUAGAAUUUUGUGUUUCUUCCUGUUGAUCUCAUGACAUAUAAAUAUACUUAUCGACAGUAUUAUAUUGUGCUUUACCUUAACUGUUGUCUCUUGUAGUCUGUUAUUCUUGUAUCUGCACAAACCAAAUUACGGGCAGAUGAAAUAACAUCAAAAUUUUUCCCUUGCAGGAGCCGCAGCUGACUGCAAAUGAACCAUUUGAUGUCUAUGCGAAGCCAUUCUCUCUUUGACGUGAAGUUUUUGCCUUCUUUCUUCCCCUGUAUUUUUCUCACAGCUUUCUUUUGUCAGGUGAUUCUGUAGAAUUAGGAUUAGCUGCCUAGAUGGUUUACCAGUUGAGAGGUCGAAAUAUAAUAUUCACAUAUCAGCUGCAUGUUUGGCUUAUGAGCAUUUUCCUUUAUUUACUUUUCCUAGUACAUUCUUUUUCGUAUUUAAAAAUAUCUUUUGUGUUAUUUUAAUCUUGUUUAUAGACAAUGAUGAUAUCAAAUGAUGAUGAUAUAACUGAAGAGGAGGGAUAGAGCUGUCUUUUAAACUUUCGUUAGCUUGCUUUCGGAGCCUUAUAUCAAGUGAUCAUCGCACGCCAUGUGUUUGUUCGUUGGCAUUUAUUGGGAAAUUUAGUGUAGCAUUUGCAUCUGGAUAACUACCCUCGUUUUCUGAUGAUCGUUAGAGAGAGAGAGAGAGAGAGCAGGUUAUAUUUCAUAAACCACGUAUUGGUAAAAUUUAGCAAAUUUUAUUUUAACACUUAAGCCUCCGUUUGGUUCAGGGUUAAGAAAAAAGUAGUUAUUCCAGGGAUAGAGUUAAGUUCAGAAUUAAAGUGGGGUUAAAAUUUUUUUGUAUUUGGUUGGGGGUUGGAGUUAGUCUAGAAUAAUGAAAAAUAGUGUUUGGUUGGAGUAGGUAGAAUAAGAAGAUAAUGAUUGAUAAAGAAGGAUAAUGAUUGAUUGAAGUAGGUAGGAUAAGAAAGAUAGUGGGUUAUUAUGAAUAGAAAAUAGUGUUUGAUUGGAGUUUGGUGGGAUUAGGUGAGAUUAGCUAAUCCGGAGUUAUCCCACCCAUUUUUUGGAAUGUUCGGGGAUAAUAUGAGGGUUAAGCAGUUAUUCCAUUCCUUAACCUCCAACCAAACAAGGCUAAAGGUUUAUGUGGCACUUCCACACAUAAAAAGUAAAGUUAUUUUCAUACCAAUAAGAACUUAAAAAAAAAAAAGAAUGAAAAGAAAACAGCUGACACGACCUGCAGUGCGUGCGUGCGUCACCUACGCAACGCAUUAAAAAAUAAUAAAAAGUCUAUGCAUGCUUACACCAGCGAGAACACGCCAUCAGCAAAAGACACCACGUUAAUGUGUAUUUGUUAGAACUCACCAGGCACCUUUGAAAACCAUUUUAAACCAGCUUUCCUGUGUGGAUUGAAUCUCCUCAUUCGGCAGAUUUCCAGUAACGCCGGGAAUCAGAUAAAGAAGGUUUUGGCCGUGAAACGAAGAUUACCCUGCACUUAUAUCUACGCAUGAUGAAUAUAUGUCAUAUAGUGGCAUCUUAGCACCACAUGCGAUUGGUAACAAAAUACAUUACAAUUUGUCACCGCAAUAGCAAAGGAGAGAAUAUAUAUUAUUAACUCAUGAUACUAGAUUCCUAAUUGAUUAAAAAAAACAGAGCCAAAAUGAGAUUUCCAGCUCCCAAAACCUCUUUACCACCACUACCACAAAUAAAUAGGCUGCUGAACUGAUACCCUACUUUCAAUUUCAGUAACCUUCGGAAGAAUACGAAGGCAUGAGUCAAUAUAAAGCAACAUACUAUAAUAACCUGAAAGGAUACGAGCAAGAAAACAUUUUUAAGGACCGAGUAUCCUGAAGUACCUAAACAUGAAUAUCCCACCUGAUACAGAUCAUCUUUAUCUCUAAAGAAACGCAUCCAACUUCUUUGCUUUGCUCGGCUGCGGGGGUCGGAAGUCUUCCAACCGCAAACUGGAGCUCGCCCGUAUCUCAUUUAAGACCGAAUCCCCUUUCUCUGUUCUUAUGGACUCUAGGGUGCUACCAAGAACAUCUGCAGCAAGUCCGAUCUCUAGUAAUCGCCCUGGCUCUUCCCCGCCUUCACGUAUUAAUCUCCCGAUCUCUCUCAAGGGCACCACAUUUUCUGAUAUUACUCUCGCAAAAAUUCGUCCAAGAAACUCUGCAGCCCUUGGAGCAUCGUUCACAGCAUCCUCCAAUGAAGAUAGUACAGAUUCAAACCUGUCGAUUAAUUAAUACAUAGUCAAUUGCACUAGAAAUCAUGUUGACAUUAUACUACGUUGGUUGCUUGGCCCAAGCUGGAGCAUUUGCAGAAAUGCAAUUUGAAACUCGAGUACAGUUGUUUGAAAAGGCACUAAAUAAAAAUUUAGUCCUUGAAAGUGGACCCAGAUUUCAAUCAGGUCCCCAGGCAUAUCAAUUAUAAACAAUUUUGUCCCCGAGGUCUGACUCCAGUUUCAAUUUCAUCCUCCGAGUUGCAAUGUAGUUCUUAAUUCGUCCCAUAAGUUUGAGCUUGAUUUCCUUUUCUUCUUUCUGGUUUCAACUUCAAAAAAUAAAUAUAUAACGACUGCACUGACGUGUGUGUCCUUUUUCAGAAGGUAGUUAAUAUGACUUGUUUGACACACAGAACAGACUUUCAGGGGCUAAACUGUCUUACUCAAAACUAUGACAAAAUUGAAAUUACGGUCAACUUGAGGGUAAUUUCUCUCUAAUGCUUUUAUAUAAAUCCUCAACAGCUAAUUGCUGCAGUAGAAGCAGAAGCUUCACAUUAGAGGUUCUACUAUUGCAGCCAGGAAGCUUAUUUUAGCUUUCCGCUACACCAAAAGCUCCAGACAUAUUACAAUCCAAACAACUGACUUCUGCAGCGUUCUGCUUUCUAGCAUAAAGAAACUAUUCAAGAAUCAGGCUGAACAAGUACUGAACAAUAUAUAUGCUAGUGUUUCUUAACAAGAGUAAACCAUUCUAGAUCAUACCCCUGUAGUAGCUGUCCUUCGCUUAAUAAGCUGUCUCGAGACUUGCAAAGGUUGACGAGAAGCUUUGCCAAGAGAUCCCUUUCCAUAUCUUUCCUUUCAAAAGAGUCAGUAAUCCAAAGUGAUACAGCCGAGGAAUAGAAAUUAGGGGCAUUCAGCUCCUUCAUGCACAAAGCAACCUCCGCCUCAUCUUUAGCACUGCAAAAAAACCAAAAAUUAUAUCAGCAUUAAGAUCACAAAAAGAUCAACAAUGAUAUCAGCAAUUUCUUGGUUCAUUUAUAAUCUAUAAGAGAGAUAUGUAAGAGCAUGAACUAGUUACUAGUUAGUAUAUGGUUACGAAGAUAAAGAAUGUGCACAUGAUCAGAAUUUAUACACAAUGCCUCAAGUAUGAAUAAACAUUUCAAGAGAAGCCCAUUAAUGCAAACACUUGUUGUGUGACCCUUAUAGGAAGCAAAACUAAACGUAGUAACCAGAAACAGAUCUGAUAAUUCCAUUUCCUCCUUUUUUUUUUCCUUUGACUAACUUCUACUUCAUAUAGCAGAAGCUGCUUCUAUAUUUAUUUCUCACAUCUACUAUACCAUUAACCAUUAACGUAUCUCAAAUCCCCUCAGAGCAUCCUAGAAUUUGGCUUCUCCUUCAAAGCUAUCUCUUCUUCCUCUACUAAAUGCAGAUCUCAAUUUCUGUUCAGGAAACUACUUCAUACUAAACUUAUAUCUUAACAUCUUAGCCCUAUCACCAACAAUUUUAAUGUUCUUCACUUUCAUUUUCCUCAGCAAAGAGCAAAUAUAAAUUCAUUGCUUGAAAGUUGAAACUAGACGACAGACAGUUGAGCCAACAUCCUGCCAAUUGAUCAAUUCUCUUCUCCUAUAACUGCACAAAUUAACAUUCGUACCUCUUAAGGAUCUGAAAAAUAAGCAUUUAACUGUGCAUCAACUGGUUUUCCCCUCUUAUUCUUUGAUGUUGAUUCAUCUAAUCAUCUCUAUAUGAAGCAUUCUCCAUCAGAAUGAUGAUGCAAUUAUUUAUUGAGCAUCAGUUACAGCCUGUUUUACCAAUUUGUAUUUCCAGAUUGGGAAGAACUAACGUCUUUUUACAAUUAGGAGCAGCGACGCGACCAUCAUACAUCUUGGUUAACCCAUGAAUUGCUUAAUUUGAUGACCAAAUUACUAACAUUCACUAGUAGUCCCCCUUGGACAAACUUGAAGACAUUUAAAUUCAGAAAAGAGUUACCCAGAGGACACAGCCUUUUCAUAAGAAAAGACUAAAAUGAGAUAAUAAAGAUAAUCACAACCGUCAUGAUUAUUCUGUUGGAUUUGUUUACAAAUUCUUGCUAUAAGUCGCCUCAGGCAAAAGGUCAACUAGAGCCUGCAAGGCAAGUUGCGGAAGGAACCCAAGUAAUUCUUCGCAGCUCAGAAUUUGUGACCAGAUUCUUUUGCCUCCACUCUCUCACCUCCAAUUCAUCAUUAUGCAACCAUUGUUAUUAUGUUUUCGUUUCUCCAUUCUUCCUUCACCUUUAAUAUUUUUGCCCUUUUUAUCUUUAAUUUGUUUUUGAGUCCACCUGCCUAAUUCUUCUUGCUAAUGCUAUUGCCCCAUUUUUAUCCCUUCUUUCUCACAUAAUCUAUCUUGCCAGAUUACCAAACACCUUGUCAUGAUAGGCAGGUUUAGUACUAGUCAGGCUCACAUGGGAUUACUAUGUGACUUGCGAUCCAAAACUAAGCUGCCCUACCCACUGGCACCCUUGCUAACAUGUUGCUUAACUAUGUAAAACCAUUUGAAAAUCCCCUCACAUACUAAAGGCCAUAUUGAAAUCAACAAGAAAUGUAAAAUGCAUUCAACCAGAAAUGCAACAUUGCAUAUCAAGAAAAGACCGAUGGAAGAAUGAAAGGACUCCAGUAUUUCAGUAUGUCCCACAAAUAGGAGAAACCAAACACUCAAUCUGUUAAAUUCUAGGGCAGUGGUGGAUCUUAAAAAAAAGGGCAGUGUGGAUCUUAAAAAAAAGGGCAGUGUGAUCUUAAAAAAAAAAGUUACAAGAAACAGCAGAAGAGGGAUCUGAAAUAACUAGUCCUAUUCAAUGGAUAAUACUAACUUUUUUUCAGAGAGUGAAAGAGAAUAUGAUUAAAUGCCACAAAGCAAGAAAAAAAUUUUAUGAAUCUUGCAAGCAUAAUAAAUAUAAGUCAUAUAGGUGAUGUAAAUGAGAACUAACCUAUAAAAUUCCCGUAUUGCUGAUAUUGUUUUUUCUUCGAGAACCUCUUUAGAGAAAGUUUUUGUUUCUGAUCGCACAUCGAGACUACUACUCGAAGAUGCAUGUCCCCGCCCAGCAGGUUGACUAGUUGCUGGGGGCCCAUCAAAAGCUCGAUCGGCACUUCUCAAAUCCCGGCUUCCAGGAGCAUUGCGAUCUUGAGGACUGGGAAGCCUAUCUGCCAUGUAUCUGCUACCAGUAUCAUCCCUCAAGUUAUUAGAUGUCCAAUCAGUAACAGAACUAUACCCAUUAGGACCAGCUCCCAUCCGUCGAUUGUCACCAAAUCCAGUAGAGGUGGCAUUUGAAAUCGUUGGCUGCCCUCUAAUAGACAUUCCCCUAGCCAAGCCGCCUUGAGGACCAAGUGUAAGAGAAUCAUCAUUAAUAGCCCUUUGAGGCAGAGGGAGGGACAGUGUUCUGCUUUCAUACUGGUGUUGCCUAUCCUCGAACCGAACAUCCUGCGUCGCAUAUGCACGAGACUGAGAAGGUAAUCCACGAAUAUUAGCUUGCUGCAAACCUGACGAACCCAGUGCGGAAGAGCCACGAGGACCAUAAUCAGGCGGUGCACCCCGCCUUGGCACCGAACUAAUGACCGGACCACCACGAGCCAAUCUACUUGCUUGAGCUUGUCUUUCUUGAGCCGCAUCCCUGUGAACCUCCUCAAUCUUCUUUGGCCCCUCAACUUUCCUUCUUUGUUGCCAUUUAUUUUUUCUAAGAUCGAUCGCAUCUUUCAGCAUGAACCUAACACGAGACGACAGCUUCUGAUUUGUCGACAUCUUCAGCAUGAUAUCAAAAUAAGCAUCCAUAUGCUCCUUGGCUUUUGGAUGGUCUAUGAUCUCCCCAAUUGUGCUCAUUAACUUGCAUAGAGCCUCCACAUCUUCCUCAUCGGGGUUCUGAUAUUGACCCAACAACUUCUUGAUGCAUUCGUGCAUGAUUCUCUCAGUCAGCAUCUUCUUUUUGUAUAAUUCUCCAAUCAAACGAAUAUUUCCCAGCAUACGCCUCCUCGCACGAAGCCUUUUCUCUUCCCGUUCCUCAUUGGAUUGCUUAAUCUCACCUUCCUCUUCCACUUUGUUAGCUUCGGCUUGCUCUCUUUCCCCCCUUUCAAAUUCCUCCUGGCACUUAUUCAAAAGCAAUCUUUUAAAAGUAACCUUCUCGUUGGCCUCGCUAAAAUCCGGUAAUGCACUUGCCAAAUGGAGACAAAAAUUGGCAUACAUCUCACAGAAAGUUGGUUCCAUCAAAGCUUUGUCAAAAAUCUGAGAGAUGACGCCAGUAAGAGUUGCUACGUUGUCAAUGUUGACUUCCUUUACUUGUAAGAAAAGUUUUUCAAAAUUUUGAGGCGUUAACUUGUUAAGGAUGCCUUUAAGCUGUCGUUGUUUCGCCUGUUCCUCGUCAGAGAUUUUGCCCACUUCAUAUUUUCUCUCAGCCUUGUGCAUCACCUGCAAAGGCGUCUGCGGAGAAGGUAUCAGACCUCUACUAGUAGCACGCUGCCACCUGUCUGCGUCAGAAUUACUACGUUGCAUGCCACCCUGAGCAAUCACUGAUUGCAUUGGCCCAGAGAGAAUCCCACCAACAAACUGAGUGGGCGGCUGACCACGUGGGUUCCGUAAAACCCCAUGACUAACUCCUUGGCCCGGGCGGAAACUCACUACACUGGGUCCAUGGCCCAUAUCUAAUCGAACAUCACGAUUAGGGCUAAAAGGGCCAGGAAAUUUUGUCCACUUAUCAUCAUCAAUAUUGCUAAUCAUACGGUGGUCACCCCGAGAUGUUGGCCUAUCUGUUAUCCUUCCAGGACUUGGGUAUGGUUCACGAUUGACGAUGUAUGAUUUCCCGGCUUGAACAUUCAUCAAAACAUCAGCAAUAUCAGAUCCGAUCUCGAAACCAACAGGAAGAUCAGUAUAUUGUUGUGAAAAAGUUAGUAGAAAAUCCCUAGAGUACUUUUUCCGGCUAGUAGCUUCAUUUCCUUCGUCAUCAGGUUGGUUUUUCACUCCAUUAAUCGGCUUACCAUGCUCUGAUGCUCUCAAUUUAGGGGUAGAUUCAGCAGCAUCUUCCCAAUCAUCGAUUUCAGCUUUGCCUUGUCCAUCCUCCUCAGUCACAGUAACUUCCUUUUCAUUGUCGUCUGAAGAGGUCUGACUUGGAACCGAUGCUAAAGAGCUAUUAAUGCUUUCUGAGGUAAUAGCACUUUCAUGUUUUUCCUCUGGGCCCUUGUAUGCAUUGUAAAGGUCAGGAGUUCCCGCAGCAUCCGCUUUAGAAAGAAUUUCCUUCCUCUUCUUCUUUUUUGUAGCAGUAGGCUUAGCUUUAGCCGUUUCCAAAAUCGGCUUCUCCUUAGGUGAUAAAACUGUGGAAACAGCAUCUAGUUUCUGUGACCUCUCAGGCUUAGCUGGAUCUGGAGAAGGAAUAAUUUCUUGGGUCUUAAUGUUAAGCUCCGUCGAGCCAGAAUUUAGACUCUUUUCUUUUUCAGAUUCAUUGGUAUUGGCAUCUCGAGCUGAAAGUUCUCCAUUUGCAGAUGGAAUAGUACAGUCAGAUACCGAAUCAAAUUCAGACAAGUCUGAUUUCUCUACUUUACUAGAAUCCUCCAGCAGAGAGUCAUCUGCUUCAUUGGAGGCAUCAAACUGUAGUUUUUCAUCUCUCUGUUUCAGAGCAUUUUCCUUUUCAGAACUCUCAGCUUCCACGGCUUCCUGCUUUGCCAAGACUACUGGAUCAAGCUCAGAUGAUUCAUUUGUAGCAGAAACUGGAUGAACUUUAGCCUUAUUAUAAUCCUGCGAUAAUUCAGUAGACAAAACAGUUUUUUCACAUGGCUCCUCUACUGUACUAUAUUGACUAUAUUCAUUAUCCAAAUUGAUUGACUUAGAUUCCACGCCCACAUGGGUCAAAGAAGUUGAUAUAUCUGAAUAAACCCUCUCUGUUGUUACUGAAGCAUCUUCAACCUGGGAUUUCUCCUCAGAUACUAUUUGAGAUGAGGAAGCAGCAGAUACUGACAGAUUCUCAGCUUGGUCAGAAAUUCCUACUUCCGAAGAAACCCGGAUUUCCAUAGCUGGAGAAGGCAAGAUCACUGAAGAACUUACUGACACUGGAGAUGCCUGAGAAUUCUCAGAGGUUUUAGUCACUUGCUGAAUAUUUGCAUCAGCCACUUUGCUGCUAUCCUUGGCAGCUACUGAAGACUUAGCGCCUUCUGCAAAAUCUGAUACAUCCGACUGCAAAACAACCAUACCCACUUGUCAAAUAAAAGCAAAUAAUAUACUACAAUAUCAAGAAAAAAUGACAAUGAGAAAGCAGUUAAUUUACCUGGGUUUGUUGACUAAGAUUUCUAGCAUCCCUUUUGCUCAGCUUCUUUUGAUGAUCUUUGUAAGAAUCAGAUCUUCGAACAGGUUCUCUCUUCUUUCCAUCAGUUCCCGCUGAAGAUGGUCUUGAAUCUGCAUCAGAGAUGGCAGGAGCCGAUGAUGAAGAAGUUCCAGGCUGUGUUUGCUGUGUUGAACUAUCCACAAUUGGUAUUGGAACUUUGGCCACUGAUUCAGAAACUGCCUUAGGUGGUUGUACAGAAGUUUCCGGAAGAGCUUCACCAUCCCUUUGCACAAGGGAUUUAGUAGCAUCCCCAGAUGGCCUCGACAUUUUAGGAGAUUCCGAUUUACUGCUGGGCAUACUAAUUGUUACUGGAGGAGCCCUCACAGUUACCUGGACUUGACUUGAUAAACCAGACAUUUGCAGGCCCUCCAUGUUUACCCCUUCAGAGAUGCCAUGCAGAUGGACCGGAGGCCCGGGUUUUCCACUAGACAUUGGGUUCAACACGGAUGGGCCCAUGAAAUUAAUGGGCUGUGCAGAUUGAUUGACAGGAUAACUAUAUCUCGGAGCCUGGGAUCCAGUGGGCAUCUGGCUACUCGUUAGAGGAACAGUACUAGCCGUGGGGAAGUAGAUUGGCGAAGGGUUAUAAGAGUUCGGCUGUAAAGGGGAGUAGAAAUUCAUCUGGUGAGAGGGAUUAAAUUGUGGAAUGGGCUGAGAUUGCGGGUUAACACUGGGUAGCUGCCUCUGCCCAGAAGAGACGGCAUCCACAGAUUCGGUUCUUUUAUCGAGCUUCAGCUCUUCAUGUGUAUCAGGGUGGGUAAUCUUCACAGUGGUCUUCCGUUGGGGUCCUGGCCCACUGAAUUUCCCGGGCUGCUGUGAAGGGAACUGGGGCCCCAUACCAAUUCCCAUAUUGCCUAUUUGCGGACCUAGCUGCUGACUAAUCGCAGGCCCGAAGCCAAAUCCUUGUCCUUGAUGCAUUAAAGUUUGUUGUUGCAGAGCAUGAGCCUGAAUACCAGAAACGAACAUUUGCUGCGGUGCAUUCCCCACAGACAGCGAUGCCAUUGACAUUUGUAGCGAGCUAGGCACGACUCCCUGUGAUUGGAUUGGAGGAGUUGGGCCACCGAAUUGGAGGGGAACAUGUGGCGGCUGUUGAUGUUGGUGUUGGUGUUGGUGUUGGUGUUGAUGUUGGUGCUGGUGCUGGUGUUGGUGUUGGUGUUGGAAAGGCAUAGGCAUGGGCAUUCCAGACAUAGGAAGGACCGACGAUUUGGGCGGAGCAACAACAGGUGCAGACUGGAUGGGGACAUGAACGUCCCUCUUUGUUUGGGGCGGCAGAGGAUGAGACUGAUUGGUGUUGGAUUGAUUAUUGCCAGCACCGCUACCUAUAUCCUUUCUUGCUGGUUGCUGUUGUUGCGGUUUAGGGGCAGAAGAUAUUGGAAUUUUAGGGAUUGCCACAUAGGGAUCACGACGAGCCUGGAAGAUUAAAAACGAAAAGAGAGAGGAAAAAAAUAAUAAAAAUGAUCAUUCCUGCAGAGAGAAGUAAGAUACUCCCAAAAAAAAGGAGAUUAAAAAAAGCAUCCCUUAUGAUCCAACACAUGAAGCACUAACAAGUUAUUCAGACUCUAAGUUCAGGCUGCAGCCCAAUUUCAACCAUAAAUAGUAAAAGAUGCAAUAACAAGCACAAGGAGAAAAAAAAACAUAAAAAAGUAAACCCACAAAUAGAAACUAUGAACCACACAGUCGAUAAACAUUGAGCAGUAAAAAUUGUUUACAGUCGUGAAAAUGACAAACCUGGUCUCGUUUCUGCUCGUCCAGAUUUGGAGGAGCUGAGUUUGUCCUAGCAGGAAUCUGUGAAAACAACAGUGGAUUUCCCAUGUUUGAAAAUUUUAAGGAUGUGAAAGGAAGAGCAACCUCGCUUAUGUAAAAAGAAAAGGGCAAAUAAGACAUACUUGCAUUCCGUUCAUGAUCCCUGGACUUAUACUUCCAAACUGAAGCGUAAAUGCUCUAGAUGAAUCCCCUGAAUUCAAUAUCGAAAUUAAGCAUUAAAACCUAAAUUAGCUACAAUCCUAAAACUGAAAAUCCAGACGACGAACCAGAUUUCCACAUUGAACAUAUUAGAAACUAAAAACAAAGAACUAAAUAACGGACCUUUAGCCGGCGUCGACGGUGAAGAAGAGUCUGGAGCACCGGCAGCAGACUGGGAUGGUGGAGCCUUAGGAAGCGGUCUAGGAGGGUUUCUAGGCACGGGAACGUCGACUGGUUUCGCACCAGCUGUUGCUGGUGCAUCUGAUGGCCCUGCUGAAACCAAACAACAACAAGACAUCGAUUAGUUUAACAAGAAAGAAAAGAUCUUGGGGCAUGGAAAUUAAAAAACUGAAUCCAACAGUUGAGAAAGAAGAGAUUAUGGCUCCGGUUUCUAAGCACUAAAAAGCACAGAAGAAGGAGAAGGGAAGUGCUUACCAUGAGUAGGGGCAUGGGCAUGAGCGCCGUUCUGGACGGCGCCGUGGGCAGCAUGGGCAAUAGCAGAACCCCCAUCUAUGUUAGUGCUUGUGGGAUUUAACCUAGGUUGGUUUCCAGGCCCAUUACCUGAUUUCUUGAGGCUACAAAAAGAACUCACCAUAUAAGUCCAAGAAACCCUAAUUUUUUAAAACCCUAAUUCCGAAUCAAUCAAUCCCACUGCCAAGGAAGGAGAGGGGGGCCAAAAAAAAGGUUCGCACCUUCGGUUCGAAUAUAGCGCCGGCGGAACCGACGACGAUGAGGAGGGCGUCGCCAAGUAGGUGUUGGAGGAGAGUGGAGGAGGAGGGGCGGAUCCUCCUCCUCCGCCGACGCCGGAGAAUCCCCUGUGGUGUUGGCUGGAGCCUCCCGAUCGGCCGGGUUUCCGGAAUCCUUCGCUCUUCUCUGCCCUAGAUUGAUUGAGGGACAUAAAUCCCAAUUCUUUGCUUCCUCCUCUAUACACCAAAAAUAUAAAAAAAAAAAAAACCAAAAAACAAAAUUUAAAUAAACGAUCGACACAUCAAACCCUAGAAACGAAUAACGCCUCCCGGAUCCUCGCCGAAAACCCCACCAUAAACUCCCCAAAAACACAACGAAAAAUCCGAAUCUCGACGGUUGCGUAAUGCGACGAACCUGGAUUCCGCUAGAACUAGGGAUCCAAUCCAAUCCAAUCCAAUCCAUACCUUGUUAAAGCUUCGAAAAGGCGAAGUAAGCGGGAGCUGCAGGGGGGAAGAGAGACUAGGGUUUCCUCCCCGCCUCAGUGCGAUUCGCGAGAAGAUGCAAUCAUCAGCAGUCGCGAACAAGAGAGAAGUUAGAGAGAGAGAGAGAGAGAGAGGAGACGCAAAGGUGCGAUUUUUGGAGAGAGAGAGAGAGAGAGAGAGAGAAGGGAAGGAGAGUUAGAGAAAGAAGGGGGGGGCGUGGAGGGGUAUUUUCGGGAAUUCACGCGGCGAUGGGGGGGGGUUUGUGGGGGGUGUAAAUAACAAAGUAACCCGGUAGUAGUGUUAAUCGCGGUCAAAUGGGAUCAUAAUAAGCGAAGUAGGGUUUAUUUUUGAGGCCGAGCGGCUUAAUCGCGUUCGCGCAGUGACUCUAAAUACCUACCGUGUCGCGCUUACACGUGGGCCCCACUCCUUCACCUACUAGCACUCGGAGCUUUUAAACGAACCGACCUAGUUAAAUACUAAUAUAUAUACUCCUCAUAAGGCCCGGCCCCUUAGACCCAAUUUCUCAUAUUAAUAAGAUUAUAUAACAAUCCAUAUCUAUCAAUAUCUAUAUCUACAUCUAUAUCUAUACUAUAUAUAAAAAUAUAUAAAAAUUCCGAUAAUAACAAACAAAAUUCAAAAAAAAAUAAAAAAAUAUUUCCUAUAUUUCCUACAAACGAGUAUGAUCACUUAAUUAAAAAAAUCACAAAUAACAACGAACAGUUAUGAUUAAUCUAUUAAAAAAUAACAUUCUUAUCUAUCUAUAAAUCCAAUUCUACGAACGGUUGUAUUAAUUAAAAAUGAACGUUUCACCUAAUUAAAAAAAUCUCAAAUAAGAACGACGGUUAUGAUUAAUGUGUUAAAAAAUAAUAUUCUUAUCCAAAAAUUUUAAUUAUAGUGGAUCAAAAUUAAAUUUUAAAUUUUAAAAUAAAUAUGAAUUAAAUUUUGAUGCUUUUUAUUUAAAACACAUAUUUAAAUUUUAGAUCAUUAGUGUUGGCCUAGUGGCCCUAAUCUUCUAUUAGAUUUUGAUGAUAACAAAUAAUUACGAUUAUUUGACUAAUCUUUUAUCUUGAGCUUUGUAUUUUAAAUCUCUCUAUAUUUAAAAAGGAUUCAAGAUGGGCAAUAUUCUAACAUCAAGCUUCAUCACUUGAAGCUGUGUUUGCUUCCUUUGUCAAAUAGACAAACCAUUCUUAAUUCGAUUAAUAUUUUGCCUUAUGAUUAGAGUGAGAAAUUUUGAGCUAAGUUUAAACUAUUUAUUUUAUCACCUUAUAGAUCACUUAAACAAAUUUCUAAUUUGUGAUUAGGUGAAUAGGAUUUUUAAAUAUUCAAAAAACUGCUCAAGUUCUGUGUUCUGUCAAAUUGAAAUUUCUGGAUCCUAUUCCGGGCGCCCUAAAGUGGAUCCGCAUCUUUUGAGACUUUUUAAAUCCUGCAUGUUUGCUGUUUGGGCGAUCCAGAAACUUCUGGGCACCGUUAUUUCAAAUUAGGGCAAUCAAGGCUAUUUGACUUGACAGGUUGCAUAUCAGCCCAAAAAGUUCUCACAGCAGGCGGCGCGCAAUCUGGGCACCUAGAUUUUAUGGAAGCCCAAAAAUGAUCUUGAAAGCGGCGCACGCAAUCUGGGCUGUUUGGCAAAAAAGUCAGCACGAUUUUCUAGGCGCCCACAACUUUUGACGGCUCGAAUCCAGAGAAAAACGGCGCAUGUCAGAAAAGUUGUCCCUCGAGAUCUGGGCGCUCACAAUUUCUGACGGCCCAAAUCCAGAGAAAGCGGCGCGUGUCAGAAAAGCUGUUCCUCGUGUUCUGUGCGCCCACAACUUUUGACGGCCCGAACAUACAAAGUCAAGAAAAGCGACGCACGUGGUCCGACAAGCAGCUGGCGUGCACAACUUCUGAGCGCCCGAAAACAUGUUUAGGGCGCCCGAAUGUACAACCGACAGAAGCUACCCGAGGCUAUAAAUAGAUGGUAUUGAGGCCUCUCUUUGCAGCAACUUGAUAAUUCAUUUGAGCUUAAAAACUUCAGUGAUCUUAAUACUCUUAGCUCUCAAUUCUCUUUCUAAACUUGAGUGAAAUUUGUAGUGAGAUUUAAUCUUGUAAAAAGAGAGAAAAGUAAAGUCUUGAAGCUUGAAGAAGAAGGUUUUGGUGUGAAGGCUUGGUGCUUGCCCGUAAAAGCAUCAUCUAGUGGAGAUCUAACAUUCUCGAGUGUUGAGAAGUUGGCGGGGACGUAGACAAAGUGUCGAACCUCGAAACAAAUUGAUCGUAUGCUUUUCAAGUUUGCAUUUCUUUUAUUUCCAUCGGAUUUUUGAUUUGCUUGAUUAUUUGGAUUUUUAUUUUAGAAACCUAAUUCACCCCCCCUCUUAGGUUGUCAUUUUGAUCCUCAAUUAGAAAUGAAAAAAUAUAUAAAAAUAUUUAAUGCAUAUAAAAAAAAUAUAGAAUAUUACAAAUACUUUCUAAUAAAAUAUAAAAUGUACAAAUUAUAAAUUUUUAAAUAAAUAUAAUGUGCAAAUUUAUAUUUAUUAAAAUAAAUUAAUUGUUAUGUGCAUUUGCACGUACACUCAACUAGUUACUGUAAAUAAGUGAUAAAGUAAUAACUGCAUAGUUAUAUUUAUUAUGGUAACAAGUAAGGAUGAUUAAUAUUUGUUUCAAAGUUUAUGAUAAUUCAUCUAAAUUUCCAUUGAGCUAGACUGGUGUACUAUCUGUACUACCAAGUUAUGUUUCAAUGAUACGAUUUUCAAAUCGACGAUCAGCUCCGUUAGACUUCAUCUACACUAUUAAAAGUAUUUAAAAACUAAAUUUUAUAAUUUUUCAACAUCAUUUACUUAUCAAAUGAAUAGUCUAAAAAAAAGGCUAGAAAUAAAAAUCUCAUAAAAAAUGAUGAUAAAAGACUUAAAUUUAAGAUCAGAGAUACUGAUCUUACUCUAAAUAGUAAAAAAAAAAAAUUCUAUAUAAACUUCAUCAGAUUUGAAUUGUUUUACACUGUUAAAUUCACGAACGCAUCACAUCGAUCAUUAAAAUUAUCAAUUUUGAGAUUUUUUGAUCGCUAGCCAAAUGAUGUCGAAAAAUUAUAAAAUCUAGUUUUCAAAUACUUUUAAUAGUGUAGAUCAAAUCAAAUGAAACCGAUCGUCGAUUUGAAAACUAUAUUAUUAAAAACAACUUGAUAGCACAGAGGCCUCCGUGUUACCGAUAGUAUACCAGCCUAGCUCCACACACACAUAUAUCUAAAAUAGUACUACACUAUCAUCUGAGAAUCUACUAGUGCAAUUGGUAUUAACAUUAAUUUCUUGGGCGUUCCAUUCUUCUUAUUUAUGAACUACUGCUUUUCUAUAAAUGAGCUUUGUAAUUACAGAAAUAUAAAUAGUGCUUAAAAUUGAACUACUAAAAUAGAUUUGUAGAUUCUUUAACGACUCAAUUCAGAUGACAUUUCUCUGGAAGUUUCAACUGAGUCAAGCAAUCCAUUUUCAUUCCCAAGCUUGCAUGCUCCAUUUUAACCGGCCGUAUGUAUAAAUCAGUUUAAUUGUUCAUAGGACUACUUUUUAAAAAAAAGAAAAAAGAAAAAAAAAAUGUUUAAUUGGUCCUUUCGUGGAGGCCCAAUAUGCUAUUGGGCCUCGGAACAAAACCUACAGUUUAUCGACCAACAAAAAUAAUUCUCACCAAAGAAACGCGAGUUAUAAAAAACUUAUUAAUGUCCGGUACAUAAGAUCUCAAGUUCAAAAUUUAGUUAAUUUAUAUUUUGAGUUACAUUUAUUUUUUUUUGAUAAAGAAUGACGAAACAAAUAGCAUAUUAUCAUUCUCUCUCGUAAAAAAAUUAAAAUAAAUUUAUUUUUAAUUUAUUUUUCUUUUUUUUGGCACUCUUCCUCUUAAAACAGCCAAGGGAGAGGUUGAAACAAGAAAAGAAGAAAAUGACACGUCAGUAAAAGAUGUUUUCUUGAUGUGUUUUAGGUUCAGGUGCCCAACCAAAUUGGAACUGUUUAAAGUAAAAUAUUUCCCAUGAAAGUAUAAGAUGAUAGGGAAACUUUUAUGUCGAAUUAAUGCUAACGACAUUGAUGGGUGGUGGACAAGAUAUUGUAGGAUCCUUUUUUGGGUUUUCUUAGGUAGUAAGUAGGUGGGUCAAUGGUCCACAUUUGGGUUCGAUGAUCUGAACUCUAUUCUAAUAUAUCAUUUUCUUUUUUGACCUUAAUUUUUUUUUUUUAGAGUUUCAAUAAAUAACACCUGAUACAAUAAAAAUAAAAACUUUAUAACAAGUUUAGUUAGUCAUAUUGAAAGCUUAAUAACAUUUUGCUUACACGAGUUGUAGCUAUUGUUUUUGGAUGUUGAAAAGGAAAGAGAGUUCUUCAAUGUCCCAAUCCAAUAAAUCACUAGUUCGAAUCGGUUUACACAAAGCUCCUCUUUCUUUAACCGAAAAAAGGGAGAAAAAAAAAAAACACAAACAUAAAAGCAUCCAUUAACACAAAGUAAAAGGGUGCAAUGAAAAAGCUCGAAAAUUAGGAACUCUCCACACAAAAAAAAAAAAAAGAAAAAAAAGAAAAAAAAAGUGGGGUGGGGUGGCAUGUGGUGUGGUGUGGUGUGAGACACGUCUCAUCAGAGGUACACUUANGUAACAAAAAAAAAAAAAAAAGAAAAAAAAGAAAAAAAAAGUGGGGUGGGGUGGCAUGUGGUGUGGUGUGGUGUGAGACACGUCUCAUCAGAGGUACACUUAACUCUCUUCAAACAUUUGUUUCGAUUUAGGAAGUGCGAGGGGUUUGCAUCAAUGUGACACCUGUGGUCCGUGGGCCUCAGAACGCGAGAGAGAGAGAAAGAGAGAAGCAAGCUAUUUAUGGACCGGGUUCACCAUGUCACCGUAGACCGCGAAAGUUAUGUAACUUCCAUUCCAUUGCCUUUUUAAAUCAUCAUCAUCAUCACCCCCUACUAAAUUCGAUCUUUAAUAUGAUAAUAAUAUAAUAAAAAAAUAUUAAUGUGCUGGCAUAUAUGACAAGAGACUUUCAAUUACUUUACAUAUGCGUUUUUUAUAAUGACAAUAUUACCAGAUAUCUAAAAUAUUUUGUAUAUAAUUUUUUUUUUUUAAUUUAAGGGGCAAAAUUGAAUGAUUUAUGAGUGAGAUGGCAGAUCGGGUCUACACAAUAAUUUCUCCCCAUGCGAAGGAAACGAAGGAAAAUGAAAAAAAUAUUUUUAUGGAUUCGAUUCGAUGGGACGCUCCAACAAAAAGGAUUCCCCAUUGACGAACCCACCCAGAUGGGAUUAUAUGUUGUUUGGAAAUUCUCCCAAGCACCACAUCUCCCCCCCCUUCUCUCUCUCUCUUCUUUUUUCUUAUUUUUUUUUUAUUUUUUAUUUUAAUUUUUUUUGUAAAAGAGAGGACUUUGGCUUAGUUUGGUAACGCUAUUAAAUAAAAUAAAGUUGAGAAAAAAUAUAUGGAAAUAUACUUUUGCGUUCUCCAAUAGGACCGUAGAAAAUUCUCCGAUUAAUCGCAAUAUUACGUACAGAAACACAAUCUCUCCUCAAUUCCAAGCAAAGCCUUCGUAGGCUCGGCCAAAUUCCAAAUAUAUUUCCUUUUAUGAUAUGAAGCCACAAUGAUACGGGGACUCGAUCCCGGGUCUACAGGUUGGCACUCGUCGUACCUAACGACCAUGCACGUAGGUGGUUGGGUUUACACCUUUUCUUAAGAGAAAGCGAGAACACACGUGUAAAAGUACAAAAAGUUUACUUAGCUUUUCAUGUGAUUUGGCCUGCACCUAUUUAACCAGCAAAAACCACUAACCAAUUUGUAAACCGAACUCUGUUGUAUAGAUUUUAAUAAAAAGUUAUUAUUUUACGCUUCUUUCUAAAAUUUAAACUAAUUACUUAUUUUAAUGUGAAAAUUAUCUAAAAUAUACUAACAAAAUUAAAAAUACCGUUAACCGAGUCAAACUAAAAUUUUGAAAGAUUGAGUAUCUAAAUCUAAAUGCCAACACCUCAGAUAAGUUCCCUAAAGUUUUACCUUUCCUCAAUGUACAACGACAUUGUCAACUUAUUUCACCAAAUUUGUUCAUACCAUACUAUCUCACAAGAUUAUGUUAUUUUCCACAAGGUUUCAAUAGUGUUUUCACAACUGGAAUCAAAUUACUAAAUUACGAAAAAGGAAAAAAAAGAACUUACAUUCCACAAGUUGAUUCAAGGUGAAGAUAAGAGUAUUUUCCGAGUAGUAGUUAAUUUAUGCUGGACACAUAAAACUUUAUAAUUCAUGGAAUGAGGCAUUUGCAGUGUAUCAGAG
rnacentral:lncRNA from 1 species